CGCUAGUGCUGCCAAGAUCAGUUUCUACAUCAAGGGAAGAUAGGAGACGUUUUCCCUCAAGAACAAGACUACACAAAUCUCAGAGCAAUCCCGACAUGAACCAAGGAAGAGGACCAACAGGAGGAAUAGGAACAAGCAAAUAUGGACCGAGUCAGCUAAGAUGGUCACUGCAGUUCAAGGAGGUCAAGAUCGUCGAUUUAAGUCACCGUUCCUGACCAAAAAGGACAACCCAGCUCCAGAUGGCAGAUCAGACAUUCCGAAAGAUUGAAGGAUAUUGAUAUGGGAGAAGACGAGUACGAUCCGCCCAUCAUCCUUGGGAGACCGUUCCUCAGCACCGUUAAAGCAAUCAUCUACAUUGGAACCAGAGAAGUCCACAUGCACUUCCCCUCUGACAAGGUAUGCCGCUAUUUUAGUGACCCUAACUAUAUAGUUGAAGACUCUAAGCAGGUCAGGACAAGAAGAAGACGACGCAACCGCAACCAGAGGAGGCAAAUCAUCAAGGACGGAUGGGCAGACUAUGAAGGAGAAGUGGUAAGGUCUGAAGAUAUACAGCUUGAACAGAACUAUCCCGAGGAGACCGUAGCACCGAGUCAGGUGUGGAGAGAGAAGAUAGUUAUACACGAAGAGGAGGUGCCGCCGGAACCACCGACUACGCCAUCCAGCGAAUCCCAGGACAACUGAGAAAACAGAGAGUCCCGUUCGGAGGACUUAAAAACACCGAACGCCUUGCCAAGAGGUAAACUUGGUAGUUAUCCUUUUCCUUUCAAUUAUUUAAAAUAGUUUGCGUAGUUAAUCAGGUUCAUAUCAUCUUGAAAAGAAAAUAAAAAUGUUAAAAAUAGUAAGCCCCAUGUGAAUAUGCUCGUGGCAUAAAACCCAUAAGUACAUUCACUGUGGUGGCGUAAAAAUAAAAUAAAUAUAUUCCUGUCCUAUAAAUAUGAAAAUAUAAAAAUAAAUUUAUGAUCCUACCAAAGAGAGUAAUAUUUAUUAGAGGAAGCUCAACAUGAUAACGACUAAGAGAUUUUAUGCUAACACUUAACCAGUUCCACAAAGCUUUGUUGUUUAUUUGAGCUCCACAGAAUUCAAGGAUCAAAGAAGACUAACAGACGGAGGACAUCCUAAUCGCUGUCAGGGUAGUGCCGACAUUCAAAUACACCUCCGCCACCUGAUAGCUACACCAGAAGAAAUUACGUCAAAAUCCAGCUUGGGGGAGAGCACCCCCAUUCAUCCAGCUAAGUGUUUCUAUUCACGAUUAUACUUUACUCAAAUAAUAAAAAGAUGCAUAAUCAUAAAAACCCAAAUAAAGAUUUUGUGCUUAUAUAUAUAUCUUUGCUUAAUUUGCUAAAUAAAUAAAUAGAUAAAGUUUGCUAUGAACCCUCAUGAUAAGCUCUCACAUGGAAAUGAUGAAUGGUUGCUCUGCCAUGACUAGUUCUCAAAAUUGAAAUCUCUCUCAAUUUUAGGCAUGACUGUUAUUAGUUAAGAUUUGCUCUAAACCUGAACUUGUGGGAACAGUACUUGAUCUAAAGUCUAAGUCGUUAAUGGAUACGAUAUGAGAAGGUUGAGCUGCUGUUUAUCUGUUCCUAGAGAUGCUAGAAUUCUAGAGAAUUUUAUCUUUGAAAAUCUUUAAAAUAUCACAUGAUGAGUUCCUGUAUGAUGAGAGUUUAAAUUCCUACCACAGCCAUAUAUACGUGCUUGCUAGACUUUGAGCCACACAUUUACUUUUUUACUGCUUAUGAGCAUUGAGUGUGGUCAAGUUGUGUAGACCCUUAGGAGCUUGUCAUGUGGUUAAAAUCAAGAUUCACUUGCACGUUCACUCACACAUGCUACUUCUACUCCAGAAGUACGCAUCCACAUAUAUCCACCCAUUUCCAUCUCCAGAACCACCCAAAAAUAUUCUACUCCUAAUCCAGGAGAGCCAAAAACAUUUUCCUAUUUCUGUUUUCCCCUGUGAAAUAAAUGCUCAAGUUAUUUCGGUUACUACCACUUGCUACAUUAUUUAAAGAGGUGAGUGCUCAUAAAAAAAAGAAGAAGAUACGAGGAAAUAAAAAGGGGCAAGUGCCCGGAACCUCGAAAGAAAAGAAAAAGUGAGACGAGAGGUAAAAAUGGACAAGUGUCCGACAGUAGAAUUAGGGGUACAAGAUACCCACCUGAGAGAAAAGAAAAAUAAAAUAUAGAGCAUCUCAUUCCCCUCAAAAGCCUCAAGUGCAAGGAAGGUAUGUACCCCCUCAAAAGAGCAAAAGUAGAAUUAGACUUUCACCAUUAUUUUCACCAUUUCACCAUUCAUUCGCCACACAUGCACAUCUUGAUUUGACUUAUUGACUUGUUCUUCUGGAUCCAUGGUUUGACUAUGCAAUAAAUGUCUUGUAAGUAUGUAUUAGCUGUCACCCACCUAUGAGCUCCAGAUAUCAAAAUCUUAUUAGAGUAGGGUGAAUGAGAAGGCAAUGCCACUAUGCCUCAUACCAAAAAUACCACAUACUUUGAGAGAAGGUAUACACCAUUAUUGCCUUGGUAAGGAUCCAGAAAUACCACAAAAGAGAGACUAGAGAGAGUCAUACAAGGAAUCUCUGAGUUUUAUUUGAAAAUCUGCAAAAACUCCAGAGCUAUAGUUAAUCGAAGAACAAGAGACAUGGCGCUUGACUAGACUGUUCUAUCUUUUAACUGCUCAAGACACAAGUGACGGUUGCAAGCUCCAUGGUGAAAGGUAAAAUGAGUAAGUUUUUAAGUCUUAACAGUUUACCCUAACCCAGAGAUGAGGUCUUGUUUGAAUGCAUGUGUACCUUUAAGACAUAAAACCACUGCAGAAACUCUUGAGUCUAUCUUUGCUCAGGGACGAGCAAAGGUUAAGCUUGGGGGAGCUUGUUCACGGUCCUUAAUGCUCACAUUUAACCGUCAACUAAUCAUGGAAAAGGACUUAUAUGCAACCAACACUCAGACUUAGGGUUUUGUCUGACAGAAUUCCACGAGUUUUGGUGUUUGUCUAUUUUAGUAGGCGGUUAUCAGGAAAUACGGAGGAAAGGCCCACACGUCGAGUUUACAUAGAGAUAUUAACGUGCCGCGCAAUUUUCUAUCAUCUAGAAGACUCCAGAAGCCACGGGAACGAAGUGGAAGCAGAACGGGGCCUGGCCCAGGGUGCCCGCCCUAGAGACCAGGGCGCCCGCCCACCUUCUGUGCCCAAUCAGGGUCAACUUCGCGGAUCGUGCUCUACCGACCUAAGGGAUCAAGGAAAACCAUGCGAUUAAUGUCAGUUUGAUCUGACGGCCCAGUUUCAUCUGAAAAGACUAUAUAAGCAAGGCCCCCUGGCCCCUGGAGAGCAUACCUCUUCUACAGAAUCAAAGUUAGAGUUUCAAUUCUUCAUCCAAGUAAAGAGGAUCCCUCUAGUUCAUCUAGUUCUAGUUCUAGUUCCUCUAGUUCUAGUUCUAGUUAGUUCUAGUUGUAAUCUAGAAAAUAGGGAGAGAGAAGAGGAGAGCAGAGGAGGAGCCAGAUCUGUCGGAUCUUCCUCAACAUUAUACUUUUGCAGUAACUGGUUCGUUCUUCAUCGUUCUACAAGUUCUUCAAUUCAUAAUUCCUGAGUUCUUUAAUUAAUUUUAUUUACAUUCAAGUUAUUUAUUGGAUUCUCGCUUGCAUCAAGUGCUCUAGUCUUUAUAACGCUAGAGUAGUAAUUAAUAGAUUAGACAUGGUGUUUAGUCUUGCAAUUACCUGGAAUUGCACCCAAUCCUGCGGAUUGUUGUGGUAGCCCUAGGGUAGUGAUAGCCCUAACGGUCGACGUAUUCCACCUCGUUUGGAUCGGUGUUUGUAGGACCGUAGUUAGAGCUUCCUAGCCCCCUUCUCAUCUCUUUCUGUGGUUAGUGUUUUGAUGUCCCGAAAUAAAUAAUCUUUGAAGUAAUUCUUGAUUCUUAGAUCAACUAGAGAACUCUCAGGAAACUUCCUAUCUUCCCGCCAAAAAUAAUUAUAUAGUUAUCCUUGGGUGAUCUUGGAUCUUAAUUAGUACACUCAUGUUCCCUGUGGAAAAUCGAUACUCUAGAAUACUCCUGGGUGAAGGCUACAUCGGUAUCCGUGCGCUUGUGUAUUUUUCUGUUUGCGUUUAAAAUAGCCAACAGCGGGGUAGUUCAUGGUGGUGACAGCUCCAUUCAUUUUUAUAUAGUCCCCCUCCCGUGUAUAGGGCAGACAGAGCAAUAUUAUUACAGGGGAGUAAUUGCUAUGUUUCUCAUCUUCCUUGAUAAUAUCACUAUGCAUGGGCGUAGUCCUGUCUCACAAUGAUUGCCAAGUAUAAAUGCACUAACUAUGAUAUGCUAGACUUUAUAGUUAAGAAUAACUUAGGAAAUAUUCUUGUAGUUCAUCCUAAUUCCAUGCUAAUGACUUGCUAGAAUAUCUGUUGAGGUGCUUAUCAUUAUUAUAUGUGGCUAGUUAUGCUGAUCAGAUUAAUUAUCUUUGUCACCAUUCAUACUUUAUCUAUAUUUUAUGUGACAUUUAUCCCUGUAUGAAAGAGAUAGAUAAGUGCUCUCUAUUACACAUGCAAUGAUAGAUACUCAAUUCCAUAUUUCAUUCCAUAAUCAACAUUGAUGAUUAGCAAUCCCUUCCCAGUAGUAAAAAUAUAAAUAACGAUACCUGGAAUACUUCCCGGUUAAAAUGCUACAUCCGUAUUGACCUGUGCGCUUGCAGAUCUCAUUUAUUAUUCAUUCAGAAGAGCAAUUGCAUAUUUCAAUACCGCAUCUCUCAUGUCAUGUUGGGGAUGACAACUUGGCUUAAGUGGCAUGAGGGAUAGGUUUGGCAUUUUUGGCGCCGUUAUCAGAAUUAGAAAACUAAGUCUACUUUUGGUAAUGACGUUAAGAAUGCCCAACAAGCAUUUUUGGCACCGUUGCCGGGGAAGGUUGAUUACUAAUAAGGAAUGAAUACGGAAUUUUGAGUCAUCAUUCGCAUCACUAAUAUGAUUGAGAUUAUCAAUUCUCUCGUACAGCUUGUUGACGGUUCUUAAGUAUCAAUUUUAAUUAUCAAAUAAACAAGAGAAAGGACCAAUAUGCAACCAACACUUAGAAUAAGGGUUUGAUCUGACAGAAUUCCAUGAGUUUUGUUGUUUAUCUGUUUCUGCAGGGGGUUAUCAGGAAAUAAGGAAGAAAGGCCCACAUGUCGGGAUUACAUAGAGAUAUCAACGCACCGCGUGAUUUUCUACCAUCUAGAAGACUCCAGAAGCCAUGGGAAGAAAGCAGAGGCCGAAAGGGGCCAGGCCUGGGGCGCCCGCCCUGGUGACCUGGGCGCCCGCCCCAUGCUGGAUUCCGUUUGGGACUCUCUUCGCACACGAUGUUCCACCGACCUAUUGGAUCAAGAAUAACGUAGUACCACCUCGCCUACCGACCCAAAAACGCAUAGAGGAGGAGGAUUAUAUAAGGAGACCCCCCUGGCCCCUGGAGAAGACAAGAAAUUAUCAUAGAGAUUGAGGUGCGCCCUCGAAGGAAAACCUCUUCUCUAAAUAAUAUUUCUUUUUAGGCUUAGCAACCAAUGUAAAGUAGAAAUAGAUCUUCUAGUUUCUACUAGAUGGAGAGAGAUAGAGUGGAGGUGUAGAUUGGAGGAAGCCCGGCCUGUCGGUGUCUACUCCAAGCUUGUACCUGCGGGAUCAAGUUCUCCUAACCCGAAGCUUGCUCCUAGGAUUCUUCAGUAUUUUGACUUCUAAAUUCUAGUAAGUUCUUGUUUUAUUGUUCUUCUGGUUUAUGAGUUUGCUUUCGCGUAGAGUUUAGAGUAAUCAUUGCUGGCGUAAAUGUGGUGUUUAGGCUGGGGUACUCAUAGAUAUUCCCUGACUAGCUAGACCGUGGUAGUAGUGAGGAACGUGACAAUUCCGAGUUACCUUUGCAGACCAUAUCUCGUUAGUAGGAAGGAUAGGGUUUAUAGGUGCGGGUUGAACAUCCUUUGUGGUGUCUAGAUUCCGUUAGCCUCCCCAAUAGAACAGUAGAUCAUCCUUACCAAGGUUAGAAGGAGACUACGGUUGCAGUCUUCUCUAUUUAUCACUCACAUCGAGAGACAUUCUUUGUUGCCUAAAGGGUUAGUAGUAAUAGACCAGUUAGUCAGAUGCACUCUUUCUCCUAGUGGUAAAAAAAUAAAUACGAUACUCUGGAUAAUUUCCCGGGUGAAGUGCUCACCGAUAUCCGUGCGCUUGCGGAUCAAUUCCUUAUUGCGUUCCCAAUUUUCAACAAGCAUUUCUGGCGCCGUUGCUGGGGAGAAAGACGGUUUGCUGAGAUAACCUUGAGUCUUACUACUAGCUUGUAUCUAUACUUUUAUCUUUUCUUAUCUUUUUUAUUCUUUAUUUAUUUUAUUUAUUCUUACCUUAUGGAAAACCAAAAUUCUAAAUCGAUCCAUGAAUCUGCAAUCCCUUCAGUAACUGACCUUUUACCAUGGGAAUCAUCACAGCGUAUCCAAACAUCCCAGUAUAAGUUAAGUUCUAGGUUGAUUGCCAUGAUUCAAAACCUAUCUUUUUCAGGAAAGGAAGACGAAAACCCUUACCUUCAUAUUAGAGAUUUUGAGCAAACAUGUGAUUGUCUUCGCAUUGAAGGCAUAUCUGAUAAAACUUUAUGUUGGAAGCUUUUUCCUAUUUCUUUAAGGGGAGAAGCUAGACAAUGGUACAGUCAGAAGGUAAGUCAACAACAAGGUGAAUGGGGAGUUUUACGAGCCAACUUUUGUCUAGAUUUCUAUUCCCUCGACCGUAUAGCCGACCUUAGACUCGAAGUCCUAUCUUUUAAACAAAAAGAUAAUGAAACUUUGGGAAAAUCCUGGAAAUAUUUUUCUGAUCUUUUAGAAUCUGGUCCAAACCUUAAUCUUGAAGACCCUGUUCUUUUAUUUCACUUUUUUCAAGGUCUUCAGAAAAAUCACAAACAAAUGCUACACACAAUGUCUAGAGGUUCUUUCUUUCGCAUCCCUACUGAUGAAGCUAGAGUGAUCUUAGAUAGAAUCCUAGAAGCUGAGAUGGAUAAUACCCUUCAUGAUGAAACCUACGAAGCCGAAGUAGACACUCUGCCAAAUUCUUCAUCUACUUUAGCUAUCCCAAGUUCUGAGCCACAAGAGGAAGAAAUUCCACCACCGGACUUCAUGCUGGAUAUAGAAUCCAAUCUUUUUGUCGAUUUUGGAAACAUUUCAAACUACCAUUCUAUUGACAAACCCCAAGACGGCCAGUUUAGCAUUUAUUUGCCAAGUGAAUAUCAAUUAAGAGAGCUUAUCUCAGUCAUAAGUAGCGAAUGGUUGGAGGAAUCAGAGCUUUCCUCUGAUGUGAUCCGUUUGGACACACCCUCUAUAACUAUACGUUGUGCUUAUAAUUCUGAUCGAUUUAAUGCUCUCUAUAAUCCUGUUGUGGGGAUCAACAUCAUGUCUGAAUCUUUUGCACUUAAACUAUUUAAAAAUCAUGUCUUCACCCCCACAACAAAGGUCAUAAAGGAAUCUUCGGGACGAUUAGUCCCCAGUCUUGGAAUUAUUAAUGUCCUACCUCUUACAGUAGAAGGCUCCAUGGUUCAUUUGAACUUCUAUAUCUUUGAUACAUGGGACUUUGACAUGUUGAUAGGACAACCUUUUAGAAGACUCCUUUAUGAAGGUCAUACUGGAAAGCUACACAUUUCUUUUGGAAAAACCUUUAAAUUCCCAAUAACAAUUUCACACUCCUUAAACAAUAAGGCCGAAUCAUAUCAUUUGCCUGAUCCUAUGGAGGAGGUAAAGGCUGCAUCUCUAGAGCUUUUAGAAGAAUUAGACUUAGAAGACGAAACUCUGUUCUUCAUAGAAGAAGAAGCCGAACCUUCUGAACCUGAACCCUUAGAUGAGUUUGCAGAAACACCUAGAGCUUAAAACUUUACCACCCGGUCUUACCUAUGCUUUCCUAAACAAUAAUCCAGAGUUUUCUAUGAUCAUUAGCGAUAUACUCACUCAGGACCAAACUCUGCGAUUAAUGACUAUUCUUGAGAAACAUCACUCAGUGUUCAGCUACUCACUCCAUGAUCUUACAGGAAUCAGUCCUAUGAUUUGUACCCAUCGUAUUCCAACAGAUCCUUCUGUUUCACCUUCUCGAGAACCCCAACGUAGACUUAAUAACACUAUGAGAGGGGUAGUUAAAAAGGAAGUUAUAAAGUUGCUGCAUGCAGGGAUUAUAUAUCCUGUGCCGCACAGUGAGUGGGUAAGCCCAGUUCAAGUUGUGCCUAAAAAGGGAGGCAUGACUGUUAUUAUGAAUGAAAAGAAUGAGCUAAUUCUGCAACGCACCGUCAUAGGAUGGCGGAUGUGCAUAGACUAUAGAAAACUAAACAAAGCCACGAGAAAGGAUCACUUUCCUUUACCUUUCAUAGAUGAGAUGCUAGAGCGGUUAGUGAACCAUUCGUUCUUCUGUUUCUUAGAUGGAUAUUCAGGGUAUCACCAAAUCCCGAUCCAUCCUAAUGAUCAAAGCAAAACCACUUUUACAUGCCCAUAUGGAACUUAUGCUUACCGUAGAAUGUCUUUCGGGUUAUGUAAUGCACCAGCUUCUUUUCAAAGAUGCAUGAUGUCUAUAUUUUCUGAUAUGAUUGAAGAGAUUAUGGAAGUUUUCAUGGAUGAUUUCUCUGUUUAUGGAAAAACUUUUGUUAGUUGUCUUGAAAACUUAGACAAGGUUUUGCAAAGAUGUGAAGAAAAGCACUUAGUCCUUAAUUGGGAAAAAAUGUCAUUUUAUGGUUAGAGAAGGAAUAGUGCUGGGACACUUAGUGUCUGAAAAAGGUAUUGAGGUGGAUAAAGCUAAAAUUGAAGUAAUUGAACAACUACCUCCACCUGUGAAUAUAAAAGGAAUUCGAAGCUUUCUUGGCCAUGCUGGUUUUUAUCGUAGAUUCAUAAAAGAUUUUUCAUUCAUUGCUAGACCACUUACUCUUUUGCUAGCCAAGGAUGCUCCUUUCGAAUUUGAUGAUGCAUGUCUAACAUCUUUUAAUUUAUUAAAGAAAGCACUCACCUCUGCACCAAUCAUUCAACCCCCUGAUUGGCCAUUGCCUUUUGAAAUUUAUGUGUGAUGCUAGUGAUUAUGCUGUGGGGGCAGUAUUGGGACAAACUAAAAAUAAGAAGCAUUAUGCAAUUGCUUAUGCCAGUAAAACUUUGACAGGAGCUCAACUUAACUAUGCAACCACUGAAAAAGAGCUUCUGGCUGUUGUCUUUGCCAUUGAUAAAUUUAGAUCUUAUUUAGUUGGAGCUAAAAUAAUUGUUUACACUGAUCAUGCUGCACUAAAAUAUUUGCUCACUAAAAAAGAUGCUAAACCUCGCCUGAUUAGAUGGAUCUUAUUACUCCAAGAAUUUGACUUAGAAAUAAAAGAUAAAAAGAGAGUAGAAAAUUCUGUUACUGAUCAUUUGUCUAGAAUGUACUUUAAGAGUCUACAGGAAACCCCCAUCAAUGAUUCACUCUGGGACGACAUGCUCUACGGGAUUAACAGGUCUGACCCCUGGUAUGCAGGUAUUGUUAAUUUUAUGGUUUCAGGGUAUGUACCACUAGGAGCAAACAAGAAGAAGCUUAUUCAAGAAAGUCGUUCACAUAUAUGGGAUGAGCCAUACCUCUUCCGAGUAUGCUCUGAUGGCUUACUCAGGAGGUGUGUGACCACUGAGGAAGGAUGGAAGAUCAUCAACAGAUGUCAUUCAUCACCAUAUGGAGGUCACUAUGGAGCAUUCCGCACACAUUCAAAGAUCUGGCAGUGUGGAUUCUACUGGCCUACAAUGUAUGAAGAUAUGAAGCAAUAUAUCAGAAGAUGUGGGCCAUGUCAAAGAUACGGAAACAUAAAUACAAGGGAUGCAAUGCCACUCACCAACAACCUUCAGAUUGAGCUCUUUGAUGUCUGGGGAAUAGACUACAUGGGUCCAUUUCCUCCAUCAAAGAAGUGCAAGUACAUCUUGGUGGCAGUUGACUAUGUCUCCAAAUGGGUAGAGGCAUUACCUUGCAAGCAUGCCGACAACAUCAGUUCAAAGAGGAUGUUUGAAGAAAUUAUAUUUCCAAGAUUUGGAGUCCCCAGAGUAGUGAUAAGUGAUGGAGGAGCACACUUCAUCGACAAACGCUUCAAGCAAUAUCUAUCAAAACAUGGAAUCCGUCACAACGUCGCUACCCCCUAUCAUCCUCAGACAAGUGGCCAAGCAGAGACUUCCAACAAACAAAUCAAGAAUAUUCUUCAGAAGAUAGUAAAUGAAAUGGGAACGGCGUGGAAAGACAAGUUACCCGAUGCACUCUGGGCAUACCGAACAGCAUACAAGACCCCAAUUGGAAUGUCUCCAUACUAAUUGGUGUACGGGAAGACUUGCCAUCUACCUGUUGAACUAGAGUUCAAAGCACACUGGGCCAUAAAGAGAUGGAAUAUGGACCUAGAUGCUGCUGGAGAUUAUAGAAGAAUGUAACUAUUAGAAUUGGAGGAAUGGCGAGAGAAAGCAUAUCACAAUUCGAAGAUCUACAAAGAAAGAGUCAAAAGGUGGCAUGACAAGAGAAUCAAGAAGGAGUUCACACCCAGAGAUAAGGUAUUACUUUUUAUUUCCAGGGUGAAGCUUUUCGGGCAUGGAAAACUCCGGAGCAAAUGGGAAGGACCAUUCAAGGUAAUUAAUUCAUCAUCCCACGGAGCUAUCACACUUCAAAAUGACGAAGGUACGUUAUUCAAGGUAAAUGGUCAGCAUCUUAAAUUAUUUUUAGAGCCCAAUAAAGAAUUAGAAGAAAUAGACGUAGUCCAUUUUUACCUUCCCAUGGAGAAUUAGAGCCCGACCUUUUUAGUCUCACGUUUUCGGGUCAUAUAUAUUUUUCUAAAUAGUUUUGCAUCUAAUAACACCCUCGAGGAAGUGGACCCACAGAGGGGCCAGAGAGAGGGCGGGCGCCCAGAUCAGGUGGGCGGGCGAACAGCUCCUGUUCCCCCUCGGUCCCGACUUUCUCUGUCAUGGAAAAUGCACUUAAGGAAAUCCGAAUAAUCCCUCAGAUGGAAAGCUUCGCAAGCACAUCGACGGGAGCAACCCGAACAACCCAUAGAGGUACUUUUUGACCCCUAUAUAAACAGACCCCUGACCUCAGUUUUCAAACACCAAGCCAUCAAGCCUUAUCUUCUUCUUCAAUUAGAGCUUGAUUAGUUCCUUGCUGCUCCAAUGGCCGAGAAGUACCACGAUGUUUGGGAAGUCGUCCCCUUCAACCUCAACAUGGAGCCGGUGGAAGACCCCGAUGCCCGUGCUCUCGUCCCGGCCAACACAGAGCGACAACUAGAAGCCAUGCCAUUACGCCAACGCAGCUCCGCCCAAUCCUACCAUGCUCAACCAGUUCUCACCGCACCGCUACAACCCCUACUCCUCAAGGGAUCAUCAUCUAAGACGAAGACCACCAUCAAGGUGCCAACCGGCACAAGGAUCCUUCCACCUAGACCCAAUGAGAGAGUCGUUGGAGUCAAGACCAACCGGAGCGGUGAGAUCAGCAGCGUACGCUACACUACGGAGGUAGAAAGGCCUUACUUCGAAGGGAUUAGAGCAGCUAAAGUCCGUUUUAUCCCUCCAAAGGCAGCCCCGAAGCACGCUAUCAAUGCUUUUGAGACACCUCCCAAGCGUCGCAAGACUAAAAUGGAUAUUGAUGAGGACAUUCGCAAACUAGACAGAGUUAUCAUAGACCUCCAGUCCUCGAUUAAUUCCCUCACUAGGCAGCUCUCUAACCACAACACCAUCGUACUAGGCCUUAGACAGGAUCUUGCCAGUGCCAACAAGAAGAUUAAGGAAUUAGAGCGCCGCUAAGUUAUCUAGAUUAGAUCUUGAGGCAAUGCAUCUUAGUCAUCUAUCUGUAAAUUCGGUUUAGGUUUACUAUUAUUAUCAGUUUACUACUAUCGUCAGUUUGCUACUAGUUAUUUGUAAUAAAUGCCUCAAGAUUAAUAAAGAAUAUUAUUAUUAUUAUUAUUAUUAUUAUUAUUAUUAUUAUUAUUAUUAUUAUUAUUAUUAUUAUUAUUAUUAUUAUUAUUAUUAUUAUUAUUAUUAUUAUUAUUAUUAUUAUUAUUAUUAUUAUUAUGUCUCGUGUGUCUCUACUUUAUUUUUUGUGCAAGAAAGCAGAAAACAAGUAUGGGGGAGAUCCCUCGACAUGCCAAACACACUCCGACUACACCACUCCACGAUUCAGGUGCACACUCUGCACACUUUACUUUACACAUACACAUAUCUUGGAUUAUGCAGAAUACUGUUUCCGACAUGACAAAUUAAAAAGAUUAAAAUAUUUCUAAUCAUGAUUAAUCUCAAUCUGUGAUAUUUCCUGAAACUUGCAAUUAUUAUAAAAUCAUUUUAAAACCCUGUGUUACUUAAGACACUAUGAAAUGUGAGAUGGUAGAGUUUCUUAUUCUUGAUAUCAUUGUUGCUUGGAGAAUUUAUUUUAAAAUCUUUAAAAUUCUAGCUACCAUCCUCAGUGUUUUAUAUGCCUGAUAAAAAACUGAAAAUACUAAUUAUGAUUAUAAAAGCUAUCUACUCUGUAUUGAGUUUGUUCAAAAUGAGUUAGACCCUUGUUGAGAGAUUUAUCAUGCUCCUAAGAUCAAGACAUUUAUUCAGAAAGAUUCACUCUUCCGAAGUAUUAUUGCAUUAGAGGCAUGGGCUAUGCAAAAAUAAAGAUAUUUCGAGGAAAUAAAAAGGAGCAAGUGCUCGACAACCUCGUAGGAAAAAUGGACAACUGUCCGGCAGUAGAAUUAGGGGUACCUCGGUAUCCAUUAAAAAAAAAGAGAGAAAAAAAUGAUAAGCCCAUGGUCCCUCUAAUAAGCAAUAUGCCAGCAAGGGUUGACAAAGAUUUUAAUUUCCAAAGUCUUUGAUCUAAGAGUAUGACACUCCCCUCCUCGGAUCCCGUUUUGAUCAGGCAAUAAAUGCAAAGUAAGUAUGCUUAAGAAUUUUUACAAAUAAAAACAGCCUCAGUGAGAUAUAUAAAAGAUAAUGAGUGAUCUGAGAGAACCUAUGAGGAUAAAAAGGUAUGCUAGCUUUCUUUCAAAAUGAUACAAAAACUCCAAGUAACAGGAUUGAGAAGAAAGGAUCUUUACUCUUAAUCAUAUACUUCCCUGACUACAGUACAUAGAGGAAUUUUAAUACCCUGCAAAUAUAAAGAAUGUUUUAGAAUAUUUUACCCCAAGUAUUGUUCUUAACCAUCCUUUUCUCGAGGACGAGUAAAAGCCUAAGUAUGGGGGUAUUUGUUGACGGUUCUUAAGUAUCAGUUUUAAUUAUCAAAUAAACAAGAGAAAGGACCAAUAUGCAACCAACACCUAGAAUUAGGGUUUGAUCUGACAGAAUUCCACGAGUUUUGUUGUUUAUCUGUUUCUGCAGUGGGUUAUCCGGAAAUAAGGAAGAAAGGCCCACAUGUCGGGAUUACAUAGAGAUAUCAACGCACCACGUAAUUUUCUACCAUCUAGAAGACUCCAGAAGCCACGGGAAGAAAGCAGAGGCCGAAAGGGGCCAGGCCUAGGGCGCCCGCCAUGGUGACCUGGGCGCCCGCCCCCUGCUGGAUUCCGUUCGGGACUCUCUUCGCACACGAUGUUCCACCGACCUAUUGGAUCAAGAAUAACGUAGUACCACCUCGCCUACCGACCCAAAAACGCAUAGAGGAGGAGGACUAUAUAAGGAGACCCCCCUGGCCCCUGGAGAAGACAAGAAAUUAUCAUAGAGAUUGAGGGGCGCCCUCGAAGGAAAACCUCUUCUCUAAAUAAUAUUUCUUUUUAGGCUUAGCAACCAAUGUAAAGUAGAAAUAGAUCUUCUAGUUUCUACUAGAUUGAGAGAGAUAGAGUGGAGGUGUAGAUUGGAGGAAGCCCGGCCUGUCGGUGUCUACUCCAAGCUUGUACCUGCGGGAUCAAGUUCUCCUAACCCGAAGCUUGCUCCUAGGAUUCUUUAGUAUUUCGACUUCUAAAUUCUAGUAAGUUCUUGUUUUAUUGUUCUUCUGGUUUAUGAGUUUGCUUUAAUCUCUUCGCGUAGAGUUUAGAGUAAUCAUUGCUAGCGUAAAUGUGGUGUUUAGGCUGGGGUACUCAUAGAUAUUCCCUGACUAGCUAGGCCGUGGUAGUAGUGAGGAACGUGACAAUACCGAGUUACCUUUGCAGACCAUAUCUCGUUAGCAGGAAGGAUAGGGUUUAUAGGUGCGGGUUGAACAUCCUUUGUGGUGUCUAGAUUCCGUUAGCCUCUCCAAUAGAACAUUAGAUCAUCCUUACCAAGGUUAGAAGGAGAUUACGGUUGCAGUCUUCUCUAUUUAUCUCUCACAUCGAGAGACAUUCUUUGUUGCCUAAAGGGUUAGUAGUAAUAGACCGGUUAGUCAGAUGCACUCUUUCUCCUAGUGGUAAAAAAAUAAAUACGAUACUCUGGAUAAUUUCCCGGGUGAAGUGCUCACCGAUAUCCGUGCGCUUGCGGAUCAAUUCCUUAUUGUGCUCCCAAAUAUCAACACAGCUUUACCCCUGUAUUUUUCUAUUUUGAUUAUUUUAUGUAGGGUAAUGUAUGAAUAGAAGACAUCUUCCAGGAAAUUUUAUUGAUGACUCCGAAGCACUAUUCAGAAAAACCAAAGCCAAGCUCAGAUCGUCAACACUUCAGCGUAAAGCUUCGUCUAAACCAGAAGACCACCGAAGUUUCAUCCGGAACUUGUCGACCGAGUUCAAAGCCAUGGCAAACAAGUCGAUCUACGAGUUCUUAGCUCCCACUACAGACAACAUCUGCACUGGACCUGCUGUGGAGAUCGACUGCAACUUUGAGCUCAAGCCUUGGCUCAUCAACAUGGUGCAAGCCAACCAGUUCUGUGGGAAGGUGCACGAAGAUGCUAGUGCUCAUCUCCAACACUUCCUAGAGAUUUGCAGCACAUUCACCAUGUGAGAAGUCCCCAGAGAUGCUAUACUACUUCGCCUCUUCCCAUUCUCACUGUUGGGGAGAGGGAAGCAGUGGUUCUACGCUACAAAGGAGAAGAAUACUACGUGGGCACUCUGCUCUAUGAACUUUCUGGCUAUGUUCUUUCCCAUGGGCAAGACCAAUGCUCUCUGUGGGAAAAUUACAAGUUUUCAGCAACAACAUGAUGAAUCCGUUCCAGAAGCAUGGGAGCGCUUCUAAGACUACAUCCUAGAAUGUCCCCAUCAUGGAAUGGAGAGCUGGCUACUAAUGCAGACGUUUUAUCAUGGGCUCGGCAACAGUGCCCGAGAGACCAUGGAUGCUGUAGCUGGAGGAGCAUUCCUAUCACUCACCAUACCACAAGCCACAGAGACCAUGGGUGCUCAAGGAGGUAGACAUGCUGUCUACCAAGCUAGACCUGCUCAUGAAGAAGCUUGAUAGAGCUGGAGAUAAGAAAGAAGUCAUGCACGUCUACGACUCUCACAUGACUUGUGAGGAGUGUGGAGAUACUGGACACUCAGGCAAUCACUGCCCUAAGAUGCAUGAGGACGUGAACUACAUCAACAACAACAACUACUACUACUAUAACCGUCCUCAACAAAAUCAAGGAUGGAAUCAACAGAGGCCUAACUACUUAGGUAAUUAUCAAGGUAAUAAUUCUUACAGUAAUAAUAAUAAUUUUCCACCUCUGAGAGAGUUAGUGUCUAAUCAAGGAAAGCUAAUGGAUAACCUAUCUAAGAAAUUGGCAUCUAAUGAUAAAAUCUUAGAAAAUAUAAAUAAUAGAAUGGAUAAUUUCUCUACUGCCAUCAAGAAUCAAAUUAGCUUUAAUAAAAUGAUUGAAUCUUAGUUAAAUCAAAUAGCUGUUGCUGUUCCUGCUACUAACCCCGGUAUACCAUCACAACCGGAAGGAUUAUAAUCUGCAAAUCUUGUAGACAUGUCUGAUGCAGGUAACUACUGGAGUAACCCUGUUGUGGAAGUAACUACUGAUAUUCUGCCGGUCAAGAGAGGCGAUCCAGGAUGCCCCGUCAUCCCGAUCUCCAUUGGCAUGGUGGACUUCCCAGAAGCACUCUGCGACUUUGGCUCAAGUGUCAACAUUAUGCCAGGGUACUCUAUGAAAAAUUUUUACAUGUCCUUUAUUAGAAACAACCAUGUGUUGCAACUUGCAGAUCAGACACUAAGUUUCCCAAGGGGAAUAUUGAAGAACCUCUGCCCCUAAAACCGACAUAAUGGCCGUAGUCACCGGGUCGAGCGUCAACAUAAUGGCCGUAGUCACCUAUCAGCUCCUGUUCGGAACCAUGCCCCUAAAACCGACAUACAUUCAGGUCCAGAUGGUAGAUUAGACAUUCUGAAAGGUUGAAGGUAUAGUAACUGAUGUCCCUGUCAAAAUAGACGAUAAUUUUGUCCAUACAGACUUUUAGGUUAUUAACAUGGGAGAAGACGAGUACGAUCCACACAUCAUCCUUGGGAGACCGUUCCUCAGCACCGUUAAAGCAAUCAUCCACAUUGGAACCAGAGAAGUCCACAUGCACUUCACCUCUGAGAAGGUACGCCGCUAUUUUACUGACCCUAACUAUAUAGUUGAAGACUCUAAGCAGGUCAGGACAAGAAGAAGACGACGCAACCGCAACCAGAAGAGGCAAAUCAUCAAGGACGGAUGGGCAGACUAUGAAGGAGAAGUGGUAAGGUCUGAAGACAUACAGCUUGAACAGAACUGUCCUGAGGAGACCGUAGCACCGAGUCAGGUGUGGAGAGAGAAGAUAGUUAUACAUGAAGAGGAGGCGCCACCGGAACUACCGACUACGCCAUCCAGCGAAUCCCAGGACGACUGAGAAAACAGAGAGUCCCGUUCGGAGGACUUAAAAACACCGAAUGCCUUGCCAAGAGGUAAACUUGGUAGUUAUCCCUUUCCUUUCAAAUCAUUUACUUUUUGUUAAAAAUAGCUAGUUCAGUUAAUCAGGUUCAUAUCAUCUUGAAAAGAAAAAUAAAAAUGUUAAAACCAGUAAGCCCCAUGUGAGUAUACAAGUGGCAUAAAACCCAUAAGUACAUUCAUUGUGGUGGCAUAAAAAAAUAAUAAUAAAAUAAAAAUAUUCUUCUGCUCUAUAAAAAUGAAAAUAUAAAAAUAAAAUUGUGAUCCUACCAAAGAAAGUAGCAUUUAUUGAGGAGGCUCAACAUGAUAAAGGCUAGAUAUUUAUGCUAACACCUAAUUAGUUCCACAAAGCUUUGUAGUCUAUUUGAGCUCCACAGAAUUCAAGGAUCAAGAAGACUAGCAGACGGAGGACAUUCUAAUCGCUGUCAGGGUGCUGUCGACUUUCAAAUACACCACCACCUGCUAGCUACAUCAGAAGAAAUUAUGUCAAAAUCCAGCUUGGGGGAGAGCACCCCCAUUUAUCCCGCUAAGUAUUUCUAUCUACAUUUAUACUUAUACUAUAUUAAAAUAAAAAAAUUAUACAUAACCAUGAAAAAAAUGGACAAGGAAAACCAUUAAAAAUUAUACAUAACCAUUAAAACACUACCACUUGCUCUAAAAAAAAGAAAAAAAAAGAGAAAGGAUACGAGGAAAUAAAAAGGGGCAAGUGCCUGGAACCUCAAAAGAAAAGAAAAAGUGAGACGAGAGGUAAAAAUGGACAAGUGUCCGACAGUAGAAUUAGGGGUACAAGAUACCGACCUGAGAGGAAAGAAAAAGAAAAUGUAGAGCAUCUCAUUCUCCUCAAAAGUUUCAAAAAGCAAGAAAGGUAUGUGUCCCCUCAAAAGAGCACAAGUAGAAUUAGACUUUCACCAUUGUUAUCACCAUCAUCACCAUACACCAUUCAUUCGCCACACAUGCACAUCUUGAUUUGACUUAUUGACCUGUUUCUCUGGAUCCAUGGUUGGACGCAAUAAAUGUCUUGUAAGUAUGUAUACUUUAUCUCCCACCUAUGAGCUCCAGAUAUCAAAAGCCUUAUUAAAGUAGGGUGAGAUAGAAGGCAAGGUCACUAUGCUUCAUACCACAAAUACUACAUACUUUGAGAGAAGGCAUAUACCAUCACUGCCUUGGUAAGGAUCCGGAAAUACCACAGAAGAGAGAUCUGAGAGAGUCAUACAAGGAAUCUCUGAGUUUUAUUUGAAAAUCUGCAAAAACUCUAGAGCUAUAGCUGAUCAAGAAUAAGAGACAUGGCGCUUAACUAGACCGUUCUAUCUUUUAACUGCUCAAGACAGAAGUGACGAUUACAAGUCCCAUGGUGAAAGGUAAAAUGAGUAAGUUUUAAUUCUUGACGGUUUACUCUAACUCAGAGAUGAGAUCUUAUUUGAAAGCAUGUGUACCGUCAAAACUCAAAGGCAUUACAGCAACUUCUGAUCCAUCAUUGAGAUUAUCCUUGCUCAGGGACGAGCAAGAGGUAAGCUUGGGGGAGUUUGUUGACGAUCCUUAAGUAUCAAAUAUAAUCAACAAAUAAAUAGAGAAAAGGACCCAAAUGCAACCGACACCCAGACUUAGGGUUUUAUCUGACAAAAUUCCAUGAGUUUUGAUGUUUGUCUAUUUCUGCAGGGGUUAUCAGGAAAUAUGGCGGAAAGGCCCACACGUCAGGUUUACAUAGAUAUAAUUACAUUCUGCGCAAUUUUUCCUAAUCUAGAAGAGUCCAGAAGCCACGGGAACGAGCGGGAGGCCGAGCGGGCCCGGGGACAGGGCGCCCGCCCUCCCCCCUUGGGCGCCCGCCCUGCUACCUGGGCAAAUCAGGCUCCGUCUCACGGAUCAUGCUCCACCGACCUAAGGGAUUAAGGAAAAUCGUGCGAUUAAGGUCGGUUUGAUCCGACGGCCCACGUUCAUUUGGAAGGGCUAUAUAAGCAGGCCCCCUGGCCCUUGGAGGAGGCACCUCUGAAACCCUAAUUCAUUCAUUCAUCUUGGGAGAAGAAGUCUCUGAUCAAGCCCUAGAGCCACCACAUCAACUAGAUCUCUAGUUUAGCAUAGCUACAUAGGAUUACAACUAGAAGGAGUCAAUCUUCGAUUGGUUUUCGGAUCUGUCAAGAGGAUUCUUGGUAAUUCCUCUACUAUUCUUCAUUUGUUCAUCAUUGUUCGUCAAUAUUAUGAAUAUGACUUUGCUCUACUUCAAUAUAUUGAUUAUGACUUUGCUCUAUUUGUUUAUAUUUGCAAUUAUAUCGUUCUUAGUUUAUCAUAGUUAUAUGCUUGGCUUAGUUAGAUUGGAAUUAUAUACAUGUUUAGGAUCGUAUAGCGUUUAUCCAUGUGUACAGUGGGUAAAUGAUAAGUAUUGUGUAUGCGUGGUGCCUAUAUCGUAUUUAUCUACGAUUGUACCCUAUAUGCCAGAUCGUGGGGUAGUUCUGGUGGUGACAGCUCCAUUGAUUCUUAUAUAGUCCCCCUCCCGUGUAUAGGGCAGGCAGAGCAACAUUAUUAUAGGGGAGUGAUUGCUAUAUUUCUCAUCUUCCUUGAUAAUAUCACUAUGCAUGGGCGUAGUCCUGUCUCGCAAUGAUUGCCAAGUAUAAUUGCACUAACUAUGAUAUGCUAGACUUUAUAGUUAAGAAUAACUUAGGAAAUAUUCUUGUAGUUCAUCCUAAUUCCAUGCUAAUGACUUGCUAGAAUAUCUGUUGAGGUGCUUAUCAUUAUUAUAUGUGGCUAGUUAUGCUGAUCAGAUUAAUUAUCUUUGUCACCAUUCAUACUUAUCUAUAUUUUAUGUGACAUUUAUCCCUGUAUGAAAGAGAUAGAUAAAUGCUCUCUAUUACACAUGCAAUGAUAGAUACUCAAUUCUAUAUUUCAUUCCAUAAUCAACAUUGAUGAUUAGCAAUCCCUUCCUAGUGGUAAAAAUAUAAAUAACGAUACCUAGAAUACUUCCCGGUUAAAAAAUGCUACAUCGGUAUUAAUCUGUGCACUUGCAGAUCUCAUUUAUUAUUCAUUCAGAAGAGCAAUUGCAUAUUUCAAUACCGCGUCUUUCAUGUCAUGCUGGGGAUGACAACUUGGCUUAAGUGGCAUGAGGGAUAGGUUCGGCAUUUUUGGCGCCGUUAUCAGAAUUAGAAAACUAAGUCUACUUUUGGUAAUGACGUUAAGAAUGCCCAACAAGCAUGUUAAUCGCUUCAUUAUUCAAUAUGGAGAGGCAGCUAGCAAAGAUUAAUUAAGAGUUCGAUUAUUUUCAUCUUCUUUGUCUGGAUCGGCAUUCACAUGGUUCAUAUCAUUGCCACCAAAUUCUAUUAUUACUUGGGCUGAUCUAGAGAAACAAUUUCAUAAGUAUUUCUUUGCUGGAGUCCAUGAAAAGAAGCUUACCGAUUUAGUAAAAUUGAGGCAACGUAAUGAUGAAUCGGUAGAGAGCUUUGUGCAAAAGCUACGAGUUGUGAAGAAUAAGUGCUACAACCUGGUGCUGGAUGAUCGGCAGCUUGCCGAUCUAGCUUUUCAAGGGUUAUUGCCACAUCUCUAGGACAAGUAUGCUUCUUAGGAGUUUGAAAGCCUUAGUCAUCUUGUACAAAGGAUCUCUGAUCAAGACAUUAGGGUUUUUGAGCCUAAAAAGAAUUGGAGCAAAAAGGUGUCAUUUGUCGAUGAGGUAGAAGACACUGAUUGUGAUGAAGAACUAGUUAUCGGCUUAGCUGAGUCGGUUAAGAAUAAAAGGCCGAUAUCUUGUCCUUUUGGUUAGAGAGAACUAGAGAAGUUCACCUUUGACAUCACCAAAGCCGAUAGGAUAUUUGAUCUUUUGCUUCAAGAAGGUCAAGUUAAGCUAUCACCCAAUCAUGUGAUUCCAUCAGCAGAAGAGUUGAAGAGAUCAAGUACUGCAAAUGGCACAAUGCAACUUCACACAGUACCAAUGAGUGCAAGGUGUUCAGGCAGCAGUUGCAAUUGGCUAUCGAGUCUGGAAGAAUUAAGUUUGACAAUUCUAAGACCUAGAAGCCGAUGAAAAUCGAUCAGCAUCCUUUCCCAGCAAAUAUGUUGGAUGCCAAGGGUAAGACCAAGGUAUUGACAUCAGAAACUGCUGAGAAGAACGCAUCGGUAGAUCCCCAACAUCGGAUAACUACUAAUGACGCAAAAGGCAAGGGUUUGUUGGAAGAAAGUGGUAGUUCCAAGAAACCUCCUCGACCUGGAAUUGUGAUCACUCAUCGACGGCAAUAGGGAGGAAGGCAGGAGGAGGAUUAGCGUCGGCGUGAGGACCAAUAUCGACAACAGCAAGAAGAGAAACAUCGGGAAGAGUGGCAUCGGCAUAAAGAUCAUUGGAGGCGCCCGUUUUUCUUCUACUGCUGGAAAGAAGUCGUUAAAUUGCCAACUAUUGAAAAAUGCCCUGAGUGCAAUGGUUACUAUCGAGCCAAUCGACCUGGUAAUCGAGGUUUGUUUAUCAAUGAGCCGAUGAGAGGCAGAGCAUCAGUGCAUGAUCGAUUGGGGGCAUACUCAGUGUACAUGGAAGGCUUUGUAAACACCUUGGCUAUUUCCAAGGAAUCAAGAAGAGCUUAAGGAGAUGGCAAACGCAAGAGUUCCCGAUGAAGAAAUAUUCUAUAGGGACCCUAAUAUAUGUCGGGUAGAAUCAACUGAGGUCCGAGCCAGUCUCAAAAACUAAGCUUCCCCAAUGGUGCCUUGAGGGUUUGACAAAGACACAGAAAAGGAGGAUGCAGCGUGAGCGUCUGGAAGACCUAUAAAGAGAGAAAAGCUCUUCCAAUGAGAGGCCGGAACAUCAGCAGUGGCAGUCGAAACACAAGGGUAAGGGCUCAUCGACAGUUAUUAAUAUGGUAUUUAUGUUGCCGAUGGAGUUUUUGUCACCUUCUAAUGAUGAGGAAGUAGUUGUUCUCUCCGAUCAUGUAGCUAAGUUGGCACUAGAUCCAAUGAUGGCUAUUUUUGAGAAAACUACUAAUGACGAGAGACAUCAUCUCAAAGCUUUGUUUGUUAAGGGUAGAGUUGAUGGGCAGCCUAUAUCUAAGAUACUCAUCGACGGGGGAGCUGUGAUUAAUAUUAUGCCCUAUGUGAUGUAUCAGAAACUUGGCAAAGGAGAUCAAGACUUGACCAAAACCGAUAUGAUGCUGAAGGAUUUCGAAGGCAAUGUGUCACCAGCCAAAGGGGCAGUAUGCGUUGAGUUGACCAUCGGCAACAAAACCUUACCAAUGACGUUCUUUGUUAUCAAUGGUAAGGGUGCGUACAAUCUGCUUCUAGGUAGGGACUGGAUUCAUGCCAAUUGUUGUGUUCCUUCCACAAUGCUUCAAUGGCUCUCACAGUGGGUUGGGGAUAAGAUUGAGGUUGUCCUUGGUGACUCUUCUUACGUCAUCACAUCGACAGAAUCAGAUACUUAUGAGUGAACCAAAUUUAUAUUAGGAGAAGCUUGGGAGAAGGAGUUUCUUAGAGUUGCCGAUUAUGAAAUUCCACCGAUCCAAGCAGUCGGUUCUGAAGAGGUGUUUUAAUGGAUAGGUUUGCCGAUGAUGGAAAGUUAGGUCAGGGGUUCACAUCGGCUGAUAAUUUAGUAGAGGUAGAUAUUGGUAGUGGUGAUAGGCCAAGGCCUACUUUUAUGAGUGCUAAGUUAGAUUCCAAGUGUAAGCAGCAAUUGACCAAUUUGUUAAAAGAAUAUAAAGAUUGUUUUGCUUGGGAUUAUACUGAGAUGCUUGGAUUAAACUGAUCAAUAGUUGAACAUCGGUUACCUAUCAAGUCUCGUUGGUGCAAAAGCUGAUCUGCAAACACAAAAGGUUAAUACCCGAUUCAAACGUUAAGGCGUGCCAGCCGAUUUGACCUUACAAUCGACAAAGGUGGUAACUCGAACACUUUGGUCCCGACAACAGCGAUGCGCCUGGAUGUCACGGCCAAGAGGUGCUCACGCGGAACUUGAGAACACGCCGAGUUUGACUCGACAAAUUCCUAAGAACUCGUAGUAAAAGGGAAAAUAUGACGAAGUCGUCGAAAAGUAGAUGCUAGAAAAUAUGUAAAAACUUGUGUUUGAUUGAUUGAUAGAUAUUCUCAUUACAUUGCCAUGGGGUCUACAUUUAUACCCUGUUCAAAAGAACUACAACCAGACACGACUAGAACUCGAACCCCAAAUUAAACGGUAUCCGUAUACAAAAUGAAUUCUAAUAACUAAGGAAAUCAUUAAACUAUCCUCCGCAACCGAUCGGUACACUGCCACGAGUCAAUCGGCAACCCUUGCGCUUUUCUUCAUAAGCAUCGGCAGACCGCCUGUUACAGCCAUCGGCAACCAUCAGCACUAGUCAUCGGCACGAACGUAUCACCACUCCUAGACUUGGUCAUAUUCGGUUGUUUUCCCAUCGGCACCAACCUUUAUUGGCAACUCCCCUGUAGACUAGUCACCAUUGCUCCACCUGCCGAUCUACACUUCAUUAACUCCAGGUGUGUAUCCAAGGAUACGUGUCCAAAAAUAGUGUCAACACAUGCUCCCCAAUUUUGGAGUAUAAAAUCAUUAAUGCUCCGAAAUUCUCCUUAGUAACGACGCCUUUCCACAAUUACUUCUCCCAAUUUGGUAAUCAGUCACCAAAUCUGAACAACCUCAGCCCGAUUCUCUUGCAGGUUCCUCGAAUUUCUCAACUUCCCAAACCGAAUCUCCCCAGAAUACUUCCAUCGGCAACCUUUCCGUUAGACAAGACUGCCGAUGAACCGACCAGGAGAUCUUGCACAGUAAGAUAUCUUCAAAAUUAUGACCGCUUGGUGUCAAAUCACCUGCGCAAUCCCUUGAUUAUCGUGCGAACAGUUACCAUAUCCACCUGAAUACCCUCAGAUUUCACGGAUGCGACAAAGAGAUAAGUCAGAUUUGCCCCUGCCCUCCUUGUCCUAUAAAUACUUCCUUCUCCGGUACUCUUCUUCCAUCCUGUCAUUCUACAGCCUCAUACCCACCUUUCUGGCGGCGGCACUGCUCAAGAACUUCAAGAACUCCGCUCGAGGAUCUCCCUCGACAACCUUCCGAGUCUUUGAGUUCUUUCUCUUUCUGAGAGAAAAUGGCCAUCAACUUUGUCAUCCCUGAGGUUAACUUAAUCACCCCCUUUCUCCUUUAUACUUUUAUUGUACUCCUGUUCAUCUGCGAAUCUAUUUACUGAGUACAUUUUCUUCUUAUUUUUUUGCCCCUUUGAUCUCCAAACCCUUUAGGAACUGGCCGAUAAAAUCGUGAUCCCUACCGAUCAACCUCACUUUCAGUGUCUUGGCCCGUUGGGAAAUCCAGAUCCCACCGAUCUGAUAAACUCAGAGACAAAUAGGAUCCCAUUUAGAGCCGAGAACUUUUCUUUAGACCUAUGGAGAGAUACUUUUAGCUCCUGGCCCAGUUCUACCAAGGGUUGGAAAGAUUGGUUCCUAAGAAUCGGCAACUCGAACGAAGUCCGAUGGGGUGAGCGAAAAUUAGACCAAUGCAUUAGGUUAUCCAUUGCCGAUAUGGAGAGGAAUGAAUCCCUGUUGAUAGCUGCUUCAUACUUCUGGUCUGACACCCUCAAUGCUUUUGUAUUCGGCCAUGGUCCUGCCUCCCCUACUUUAGACGAUGUGCUGAUGCUUACUGGUUUGGACAUAUCAUCUGCUGAUGAUAACCAUCUUUAUGACUCCAAACCCGAGCGCAAAGUAAAAACCCGCAACAUAGGCGGUUGGGCGGGAUACAUCCAGAAGUAUCAAAAAACAGGGCCAGUCGGUCAGAGGGAACAUGCUAUUUUUCUGAACAUGUGGUUAGAUAAGUUCGUCUUCUGUGGCCGAUCGGCAGGGCCAACCUCUGUCUAUCUAUCGGCAGCAGAAAGACUGGCCGAUGGCGGCCGAUUUCCUCUUGGCCGAUAUUUGCUUGGCUCUGUCUAUCACCUUCUCCACCAGGUAGCUGAGAAACUCCUGCUAGGCUAACCCAUCGGCAACUUAGGGGGACCUUGGUGGUUCAUCAAUAUGUGGCUCAGUGUUCACAUGCAUAAGCACCUUGGAAUCGAUCUUUUUGCACAGCGCUUUCCCAGAGACAUAGCCGAAGAUUAUGAACUGGACGAGAAAGAAUUAGCAACCCGCUCCCCCUUGAACUAUGGUGAGGCCACCAUAGUCUUACCUGGUACCGGUGGCAAUGAAGACCAGGUCAGCCGAUUCUUCCAAACUCUCUAUGAGGGCCUGACCAAAGACCAGCGAGCAUGGAUGCCUUAUGAGGACACAGAAACCAGAUUCCCACUCACUUUCCACCCCUUUGAUAAUGCCCUCAACAAGGAUCACGACCAGAUGAUGGCAAUUAUCACUCCGAGAGCCAUACCAGUGAACUUCUUUGGCAGUGGGAAAACCUCCAGCAUCACCUACGAGUUCUACAAUCCAUCGGCACUGGCUCGUCAACUGGCCUUUGGACAGCUGCCGAUUGCACUCUGCUAUGCCGAUGUGGUAAAGCCAAGGGAGAUCAUAACCAGCGGUCUUGAAUGGAUCAGAGUAGCUCAGCUUCCACCAAAUGCUGAUACGUCACACACUGAUCUAUCAUCCUGGAUCCCAGUUCUCUUCAUUACUCAAGCAUACAAGCAAUGGUGGGAGGAGUGGAAAGAGCAUCUGUUUUGCGUAUCGGCUCUCAGAUACCGCGGUAUGAUCGACCCCAAGUAUAAAGUUCCUGAAAACACUAUAAGUCCGCAACCGAUGCUUUAAUAUUUUUAUUACUUUUAUCCUUAUCGGUAACUUACUUCCUCCCUUUUAAACAGGUCGACCAUACACCACCAACAAUGAGCAGGAACGGCAAGCCGAUCGAGCUCCUUCCAUCAGGCCCGAUUUCUCUCAUCGGCAACAGCGCACCAACUUUGGUAGCUCUAAUGCAUCGGAACGUGCGUUUUAAGAAGAUCACCACCAGACGAGCAAAGACAUCUCCAUCGGUUGCUGCUACUGCUUUGGCACAAGCUUUCAAGGUAAAUCCCUGACUUCUUCAAUUUAUACCGAUUCCAUUUUAUACUUACACAGUUUUUUCAGGAUACAUCGGCUACUAUGGGAACUUCAUCGGUAACUUUUACUGUUUCAACCAAAAUUUCAUCAAUACUCUGCUACAUUCGUACUUAUGAAAUUUUUGUUGUUGCAUCAGCAAACUGGCAAAUCGGCAAAGUCCAGAAGUACCAAGACAAGUGCCGAUGCCCCCCAGUCUAGCCAAGUCAAGAGAAAAGGCCCCAAAAGCACCAAGUCACAAGUAAAACGUCAGAGGACAGCACCACCUUCUUCUCCUCCUCCGGUAUCACCGAUUCGUGUGGAAUCGUCCCAUUCCUCACCAGAGAUCCAGACACAACAAGUACCAUCUCCACCUCAGCCACAAGAAGCACCUCAACUAGAAGAGACAUCAGCCGAUGUGCCUGAGCAAACUGCCGAUCCAGUGAGUCCAAUCAUGCCAUCGGUGGUCCCUCCAGAACAGACAAGCAUUGUACCCCCUCAAGGUAAAGUACCAUUCACAAGAUCACCACCGAUGGAUUUACUCCUUCAAAUUAUAAGCAACUUUAUUAUCCUUUCAGUUGACAUUGUUCCAUCAGCAACUUCAGCCGAUCAACCUAUGGUACCAUCAGCAUUAACUAGCCAGAGGCGAGAAAUAGCUCUGAAACAAGUAAGUUAUUUGAUUCUUAUACUUUGUCACUAAUAUUUCGUCAUCAAAUAACUUAUCUUUUUUUCUUUUCAGGAACAAGACUCUCCCGACAGCCUGUUUUCCUUUGCCAUCGAAAUUUCCGAUGAUGAAGGCGAGGAAGCAAGCUCUUCUCAAGCAAUAGGGAUUUCAUCAGCAGAAAUCAGAGCAAAGCUAGAAGAUCUGCUGGCUCUGCUUCAUCAGGACACUACUCAAUUAGUCGAUGACUCUGACCCAGCCAAAGCUCUGUUCAAAGCUCUCAGGGGUCAAAUUCCUGCCGAUGCCGAAGAGAUCCUUUUCCAGGCUGCACACUUGGAGAGCCACCAGCUCCAGUACCAAAAGGCCACCCAAUGCCUUGCCGAUUAGAGGAAGUAAUGUAAGUGAAACGUCUUGCUGAUGAGAAGCACAAGAGCAUCGGCAUCUUACAGUCCUUAGGAGAGACAUUAAGGCAGAAAAUCUCCGAUCUGUCGGCAAAAAGGGAAGCCCUGCUGGCAGAGCUCAAGCAAGUAGAAGAAGUCCUCUCUCAAGCUCAGCAAGAAGAAAGUCAACUACCUGAAAUGAUCAAGACCCUCUAGCAAGAAUGAAACAUUCAAGCCCGCAAAGCACUGUAGAUGAAGAAAAAGUUGAAGCCAGUGGAGGGCUCUGCCGAUGAGGACAUCUGGGAGAUAGAAGAAGCCGAUCAAAUCCAUCUGCGCGCCAUAUCGGCUAUCCAAACCUUGCGGAGUAUAUGAGCUCUCCAUCGGCGGCAUGUCUUGUUCUUCCUUUUAGAAACUGCUAACUAUUUUGGUCUAGCCGAUAGGAUUGUUAUCGGCAUCUCUCAAAACAUCAUACUCAGUCCCAGAUACCUCUUAAUCCAGCCGAUAGGAGUGUUAUCAGCACUUUAAACUUUCAUGCAUCGACCCAUAUGCUUGGGUAAUACUUCUUUAAAUAUUUUCCAUUCAAUGCUCUGGGAAAUUCAACUCCUUCGAGAGUCUCCAAAAUAUAAGCAUUACCAGGAGCAGACUGAUUUAUCCGAUAAGGAACUUCCCAAAUUUUAAACUUUUAGUCCCAAUCGGUAAGAUCAGUUUCCAUACCAGAUCUCCAUCGGCAAACUCCUUAGAUUUUACUCUUCUAUCAUACCACCUAGCAACUCUCUUUUUAUUUUCUUCUAUACUUAUCAAAGCCCUCAGCCGAUGCCCUGCUAAAUCGUCUAAUUCAUCUUUCAUCAAAGUAGCAUAGUCAUCGGCAGCCAACUGGUCUUGAAAACAUAAUCAGCUAGAUCCAGUCUUAAUUUCCCAUGUUAGCACCGCAUCAUGUCCAUACACCAACUGAUAAGGUGAAACUUUAGUCGACCCAUGACAUACCAUCCGAUAUGACCAUAAAGCUUCACCCAACAAUGCAUGCCACCUUCUAGGAUUUUUCUCAAUCUUUUGUUUGAUGAGUUUAAUAAUUCCUUUGUUAGAUGCCUCGGCCGGUCCAUUGGCUUGAGCAUAAUAAGGGGAAGAAUUCAACACUUUAAUCCCCAUACCGAUUGCAAAUUCAUCAAACUCCCUGAUGUAAACAUGGUACCUUGAUCGGUAGUAAUUGUUUGAGGAAUACCAAAUCGGUAAACAAUAUGCUCUUUCACAAAAUCAAUCAUAUUGGUUGUUGACGGUUCUUAAGUAUCAAUUUUAAUUAUCAAAUAAACAAGAGAAAGGACCAAUAUACAAACAACACCUAGAAUUAGGGUUUGAUCUGGCAGAAUUCCACGAGUUUUGUUGUUUAUCUGUUUCUGCAGGGGGUUAUCAGGAAAUAAGGAAGAAAGGCCCACACGUCGGGAUUACAUAGAGAUAUCAACGCACCGCGCAAUUUUCUACCAUCUAGAAGACUCCAGAAGCCACAAGAACGAAGCAGAGGCUGAAAGGGGCCAGGCCCAGGGCGCCCGCCCUGAGGACCUGGGCGCCCGCCCCCCUCUGUACUCUAAUCGGGACUCUUUUCGCACACGACGCUCCACCAACCUAAAGGAUCAAGGAUAACCGUCCAAUCAAUGUUGGUUUGAUCUAAUGGCUCACGUUCACUUGAGGGGACUAUAAAACCAGACCCCCUAGCCCCUGGAGGAGACAAGUUUAUCAUAGAGUUGAGGGGAGCCCUCGAAGGAAAACCUCUUCUCUAAAUAAAAUUUCUUUUUAGGCUUAGCAACCAAUGUGAGUAGAAAUAGAUCUUCUAGUUUCUACUAGAUUGAGAGAGAUAGAGUGGAGGUGUAGAUCGGAGGAAGCCUGGCCUGUCGGUGUCUACUCUGAGCUUGUACCUGCGGGAUCAAGUUCUCCUAACCCGAGGCUUGCUCCUAGGAUUCUUCAGUAUUUCGACUUCUAUAUUCUAGUAAGUUCUUGUUUUAUUGUUCUUUUGGUUUAUGAGUUUACUUUAAUCUCUUCGCGUAGAGUUUAGAGUAAUCAUCUCUAGCGUAGACGUGGUGUUUAAGCUAGGAUACUCAUAGAUAUUCCUGCACUAGCUAGACCGUGGUAGUAGCGAGGAACGUGACAUUUCUGAGUUACCUUUGCAAACAAUAUCUCGUUAGCAGGAAGGAUAGGGUUUAUAGGUGCGGGUUGAACAUCCUUUGUGGUGUCUAGAUUCCGUUAGCCUCCCUAAUAGAACAGUAGAUGAUCCUUACCAAGGUUAGAAGAAGAUUACGGUGGUAGUCUUCUCUAUUUAUCACUCACAUCGAUAAACAUUCUUUGUUGCCUAAAGGGUUAGUAGUAAUAGACCGGGGUUAGUCAGAUGCACUCUUUCUUCUAGUGGUAAAAAAAUAAAUACGAUACUCCGGAUAACCUCCCAGGUGAAGUGCUCACCGAUAUCCGUGCGCUUGCGGAUCAUUUCCUUAUUGCGUUCCCAAAUAUCAACAAGCAUUUCUGGCGCCGUUGCUGUGGAGAAAGAUGGUUUGCUGAGAUAAACUUGAGUCUUACUACUAGCUUGUAUCUAUACUUUUAUCUUUUCUUAUCUUUUAUAUUCUGUAUUUAUUUUCUUUACUCUUACCUUAUGGAAAACCAAGAUUCUAAAUCAAUCUACCAAUUUGCAACACCUUUGGAAUCUGACCUUUUACCAUGGGAAUCAUCACAGCCUAUCCAAACAUCCCAGUAUAGGUUAAGUUCUAGGUUGAUUGCCAUGAUUCAAAACCUAUCUUUUUCGGGAAAGGAAGACGAAAACCCUUACCUUCAUAUUAGAGAUUUUGAGCAAACAUGUGAUUGUCUUCGCAUUGAAGGCAUUUCUGAUAAAACAUUACGUUGGAAGCUUUUUCCUUUUUCCUUAAGGGGAGAAGCUAGACAAUGGUACAGUUAGAAGGUAAGUCAACAACGAGGUGAAUGGGGAGUUUUACGAGCCAACUUUUGUCUAGAUUUUUAUUCCCUCGACCGUAUCGGCGACCUUAGACUCGAAGUUCUAUCUUUUAAACAAAAAGAUAACGAAACUUUGGGAAAAUCCUAGAAACAUUUUUCUCAUCUUUUAGAAUCUGGUCCAAACCUUAAUCUUGAAGACCCUGUUCUUUUAUUUCACUUUUUUUGAGGUCUUCUAAAAAAUCACAAACAAAUGCUACACAUAAUGUCUAGAGGUUCUUUCUUUCGCAUCCCUACUGAUGAAGCUAGAGUGAUCCUAGAUAGAAUCCUAGAAGCUGAGAUGGAUAAUACCCUUCAUGAUGAAACCUACGAAGCCGAAGUAGACACUCUACCAAAUUCUUCAUCUACUUUAGCUAUCCCAGGUUCUGAGCCACAAGAGGAAGAAAUUCCACCACCGGACUUCAUGCUGGAUAUAGAAUCCGAUCUUUUUGCCGAUUUUGGAAACAUUUCAAACUACCAUUCUAUUGACAAACCCCAAAACGGCCAGUUUAGCAUUUAUUUGCCAAGUGAAUAUCAAUUGAGAGAGAUUAUCUCAGUCAUGAGUAGCGAGUGGUUGGAGGAAUCAGAGCUUUCCUCUGAUGUGAUCCGUUUGGACACACCCUCUAUAACUAUAUGCUGUGCUUAUAAUUCUGAUCGAUUUAAUGCUCUUUAUAAUUCUGUUGUGGGGAUCAACAUCAUGUCUGAAUCUUUUGCACUUAAACUAUUUAAAAAUCUUGUCUUAACCCCCACAACAAAGGUCAUAAAGGAAUCUUCGGGACGAUUAGUCCCCAGUCUUGGAAUUAUUAAUGUCCUACCUCUUACGGUAGAAGGCUCCAUGGUUCAUUUGAACUUCUAUAUCUUUGAUACAUGGGACUUCAACCUGUUGAUAGGACAACCUUUUAGAAGACUCCUUUAUGAAGGUCAUACUGGAAAGCUACACAUUUCUUUUGGAAAAGGUUUUAAAAUCCCAAUAACAAUUGCACACUCUUUGAAUAAUAAGGCCGAGUCAUAUCUUUUUCCUGAUCCUAUGGAGGAGGUAAAGGCUACAUCUCUUGAACUUUUAGAAGAAUCACACUUAGAAGACGAAACUCCUUUCUUCAUAGAAGAAGAAGCCGAACCUUAUGAACCUGAACCCUUAGAUGAGUUUGCAGAAACACCUAGACACCCCAUAGAGCUUAAAACUUUACCACCCAGUCUUAUCUAUGCUUUCCUAAACAAUAAUCUAGAAUUUCCUGUGAUCAUUAGCGAUAAACUCACUCAGGACCAAACUCUGCGAUUAAUGGCCAUUCUUGAGAAACAUCACUUAGUUUUCGGCUACUCACUCCAAGAUCUUACAGGAAUCAGUCCUAUGAUUUGUACCCAUCGUAUUCCAACAGAUCCUUCUGUUUCACCUUCUCGAGAACCCCAACGUAGACUUAACAACACUAUGAGAGAGGUAGUUAAAAAGGAAGUUAUAAAGUUGCUGCAUGCAGGGAUCAUAUAUCCUAUGCCGCAUAGUGAGUGGGUGAGCCCAGUACAAGUUGUGCCUAAAAAGGGAGGCAUGACUGUUAUUAUGAAUGAAAAGAACGAGCUAAUUCCACAACGCACCGUCACAGGAUGGCGGAUGUGCAUAGACUAUAGAAAACUAAACAAAGCCACAAGAAAGGAUCACUUUCCUUUACCUUUCAUAGAUGAGAUGCUAGGGCGAUUAGCGAACCAUUCGUUCUUCUGUUUCUUAGAUGGAUAUUCAGGGUAUCAUCAGAUCCCGAGCCAUCCCGAUGAUCAAAGCAAAACCACUUUUACAUACCCAUAUGGAACUUAUGCUUACCGUAGAAUGUCUUUUGGGUUAUGUAAUGCACCAGCUUCUUUUCAAAGAUGCAUGAUGUCUAUAUUUUCUGAUAUGAUUGAAGAGAUUAUGGAAGUUUUCAUGGAUGAUUUCUCUGUUUAUGGAAAAUCUUUUGGUAGUUGUCUUGAAAACUUAGACAAGGUUUUGCAAAGAUGUGAAGAAAAGCACUUAGUCCUUAAUUGGGAAAAAUGUCAUUUCAUGGUUAGGGAAGGAAUAGUGCUGGGACACCUAGUGUCUGAAAGAGGUAUUGAGGUAGACAAAGCUAAAAUUUAAGUAACUGAACAACUACCUCCACCUGUGAAUAUAAAAGGAAUUGGAAGCUCUCUUGGCCAUGCUGGUUUUUAUCAUAGAUUCAUAAAAGAUUUUUCAUUCAUUGCUAGACCACUUACCCUUUUGCUAGCCAAGGAUGCUCCUUUUGAAUUUGAUGACGCAUGUCUAACAUCUUUUAAUUUAUUAAAGAAAGCACUCACCUCUGCACCAAUCAUUCAACCCCCUGAUUGGCCAUUGCCUUUUGAAAUUUAUGUGUGAUGCUAGUGAUUAUGCUGUGGGGGCAGUAUUGGGACAAACUAAAAAUAAGAAGCAUUAUGCAAUUGCUUAUGCCAGUAAAACUUUGACAGGAGCUCAACUUAACUAUGCAACCACUGAAAAAGAGCUUCUGGCUGUUGUCUUUGCCAUUGAUAAAUUUAGAUCUUAUUUAGUUGGAGCUAAAAUAAUUGUUUACACUGAUCAUGCUGCACUAAAAUAUUUGCUCACUAAAAAAGAUUCUAAACCUCGCCUGAUUAGAUGGAUCUUAUUACUCCAAGAAUUUGACUUAGAAAUAAAAGAUAAAAAGGGAGUAGAAAAUUUCUUUGCAGAUCACUUGUCUAGAAUGUAUUUUAAGAGUCCACAGGAAACCCCCAUCAAUGAUUCACUCCGGGACGACAUGCUCUACGGGAUUAACAGGUCUGACCCCUGGUAUGUAGAUAUUGUUAAUUUUAUGGUUUCAGGGUAUGUACCGCCAGGAGCAAACAAGAAGAAGCUUUUUCAAGAAAGUAGUUCACAUAUAUGGGAUGAGCCAUACCUCUUCCGAGUAUGCUCUGAUGGCUUACUCAGGAGAUGUGUCGCCACUGAGGAAGGAUGGAAGAUCAUCGAUAGAUGUCAUUCAUCACCAUAUGGAGGUCACUAUGGAGCAUUCCCUACACAUUCAAAGAUCUGGCAGUGUGGAUUCUACUAGCCUACAAUGUAUGAAGACACGAAGCAAUAUAUCAGAAGAUGUGGGCCAUGUCAAAGGCAUGGAAACAUAAAUACAAGGGAUGCAAUGCCACUCACCAACAACCUUCAGAUUGAGCUCUUUGAUGUCUGGGGAAUAGACUAUAUGGGUCCAUUUCCUCCAUCAAAGAAAUGUGAGUACAUCUUGGUGGCAGUUGACUACGUCUCCAAGUGGGUAGAGGCAUUACCUUGCAUGCAUGCCGACAACAUCAGUUCAAAGAGGAUGUUUGAAGAAAUUAUAUUUCCAAGAUUUGGAGUCCCCAGAGUAGUGAUAAGUAAUGGAGGAGCACACUUCAUCGAUAAACGCUUCUAGCAAUAUCUAUCAAAACAUGGAAUCCAUCACAACGUCGCUACUCCCUAUCAUCCUCAGACAAGUGGCCACGCAGAGACUUCCAAUAAGCAAAUCAAGAAUAUUCUUCAGAAGACAUUAAAUGAAAUGGGGAUGGCGUGGAAAGACAAGUUACCCGAUGCACUCUGGGCAUACCGGACAGCAUACAAGACCCCAAUUGGAAUGUCUCCAUACCAAUUGGUGUACGGGAAGACUUGCAACCUACCUGUUGAACUAGAGUUCAAAGCACACUAGGCCAUAAAGAGAUGGAAUAUGGACCUAGAUGUUGCUGGAGAUCAUAGAAGAAUGCAACUAUCAGAAUUGGAAGAAUGGCGAGAGAAAGCAUAUCACAAUUCGAAGAUCUACAAAGAAAGAGUCAAAAGGUGGCAUGACAAGAGAAUCAAGAAGAAGGAGUUCACACCCGAAGAUAAGGUAUUACUUUUUAAUUCUAGGGUGAAGCUUUUCGGGCAUGGAAAACUCCAGAGUAAAUGGGAAGGACCAUUCAAGGUAAUUAAUUCAUCAUCCCACGGAGCUAUCACACUUCAAAAUGACGAAGGUACGUUAUUCAAGGUAAAUGGUCAACGUCUUAAAUUGUUUUUAGAGCCCGACCUUUUUAGUCUGACGUUUUCGGGUGAUACAUAUAUUUUCCUAAAUAGUUUUGCAUCUAGAAACACGCUCGAGGAAGCGGACCCACAGAGGAGACAGAGAGAGGGCGGGCGCCCAGAUCAGGUGGGCGGGUGCCCAGCUCCUGUGCCCCCCUCGGUCCCGAUUUUCUCUAUUAUGGAAAAUGCACUUAUGGUAGUCUGAAUAAUCCCUCAGAUGGAAAGUUUCGCACACACAUCGACGGGAGCAACCUGAACAACCCCUAGAGGCACUUUUUGACCCCUAUAUAAAUAGACCCCUGACAUCAGUUUUCAAACACCGAACCACCAAGCCUUCUCUUCUUCUUCAAUUAGAGCUCGAUUAGUCCCUUCCUGCUUCAAUGGCUGAGAAGUUCCACGAUGAUUGGGAAGUCGUCCCCUUCAACCUCAACAUGGAGCCGGUGGAAGACCCCGAUGCCCGUGCUCUCGUCCCGGCCAACACAGAGCGACAGCUAGAAGCCAUGCCAUUACGCCAACGCAGCUCCGCCCAAUCCAACCAUGCUCAACCAGUUCUCACCACACCGCCACAACCCCUACUCCUUAAGGGAUCAUCAUCCAAGACGAAGACCACCAUCAAGGUGCCAACCGACACAAGGAUCCUUCCACCUAGACCCAAUGAGAGGGUCGUUGGAGUCAAGACCAACCGGAGCGGCGAGAUCAGCAGCAUACGCUACACUACGGAGGAGGAAAGGCCUUAUUUCGAAGGGAUUAGAGCAGCCAAAGUCUGUUUCAUCCCUCCAAAGGCAGCCCCGAAGCACGCUCUCAAUGCUUUUGAGACACCUCCCAAGCGUCGUAAGACUAUAGUAGAUAUUGAUGAGAACGUUCGCAGGCUAGACAGAGUUAUCAUAGAUUAGACCUUGAGGCAGCUCUCCAGUCCUCGAUUAAUUCCCUCACUAGGCAGCUCUCUAACCACAACACCGUUAUACUAGGCCUUAGGCAAGAUCUUGCCAGUGCCAAUAAGAAGAUUAAGGAAUUAGAGCGCCGCUAAGUUAUCUAGAUUAGACCUUGAGGCAAUGCAUCUUAGUCAUUUAUCUUUAAAUUCAGUUUAGGUUUACUAUUAUCGUCAGUUUGCUACUAGUCAGUUGUAAUAAAUGCCUCAAGAUUAAUAAAGAGUAUUAUUAUUAUUAUGUCUUGUGUGUCUCUACUUUAUUUUUGUGCAAGAAAGCAGAAAACAAGUAUGGGGGAGAUCCCUCGACACGCCAAACACACUUCGACUACACCACUCCACAAUUUAGGUACAAACUCUGCACACUUUACUUUACAUAUACACAUAUCUUGGAUUAUGCAGAAUAUUGUUUCCGAUAUGAUAAAGAUUAAAAUGUUUCUAAUCAUGAUUAAUCACUCUGUGAUAUUUCCUGAAAAAUUGCAACUAUUAUAAAAUCAUUUUAAAACCCUGUGUUACUUAAGUCAGUAUGGAAUGUGAGAUGGUAGAGUAUGAGUUUCUUAUUCUUGAUAUCAUUGUUGCUUGGAGAAUUUAUUUGAAAAUCUUCAAUAUUCUAGCUACCAUCCUCAGUGUUUUAUAUGCCUGAUAAAAACUGAAAAUAUUAAUUAUGAUUAUAAAAGCUAUCUACUCUGUAUUGAGUUUGUUCAAAAUGAGUUAGACCCUUGUUGAGAGAUUUAUCAUGCUCCUAAGAUCAAGACAUUUAUUCAGAAAGAUUCACUCUUCCGAAGUAUUAUUGCAUUAGAGGCAUGGGCUAUGCAAAAAAAAAGAUAUUUCGAGGAAAUAAAAAGGAGCAAGUGCUCGAUAACCUCGCAGAAAAAAUGGACAAGCGUCCAGCAGUAGAAUUAGGGGUACCUCGGUAUCCACUUAAAAAAAAAGAAGAAAAAGAAAAUGAUAGCCCAUUGUCCCUCUAAUAAGCAAUAUGCCAGCAAGAGUUGACAAAUAUUUUAAUUUUCAAAGUCUUUGAUCUAAGAGUAUGACAUUCCCCUCCUCGGAUCCCGUUUUGAUCAGGCAAUAAAUACAAGGUAAGUAUGCUUGAGAAUUUUUGCAAAUUAAAACAGCCUCAAUGAGAUGUAUAAAAGAUAAUGUGUAAUCUGAGAAGACCUAUGAGGAUAAAAGGUAUGCUAACUUUCUUUCAAAAAUAUACAAAAACUCGAAGUGACAGGAUUGAGCAGAAAGGAUCUCAACUCUUAACCAUAUACUUCCGUGACUUUAAAAAUGUUUUACCCCAGAUAUUGUUCUUAACCAUCCUUUUCUCGAGGACGAGUAAAAGCCUAAGUAUGGGGGUAUUUGUUGACGGUUCUUAAGUAUCAAUUUUAAUUAUCAAAUAAACAAGAGAAAGGACCAAUAUACAAACAACACCUAGAAUUAGGGCUUGACCUGGUAGAAUUCCACAAGUUUUGUUGUUUAUCUGUUUCUGCAGGGGGUUAUCAGGAAAUAAGGAAGAAAGGCCCACAUGUCGGGAUUACAUAGAGAUAUCAACGCACCGCGCAAUUUUCUACCAUCUAGAAGACCCCAGAAGCCACGAGAACGAAGCAGAGGCCGAAACGGGCCAGGACCAGGGCGCCCGCCCUGAGGACCUAGGCGCACGCCCCCCUCUGUACUCCAAUCGGGACUCUUUUCGCACACGACGCUCCACCGACCUAAAGGAUCAAGGAUAACCAUCCAAUCAAUGUCAGUUUGAUCCAAUGACUCACGUUCACUAGAGGGGACUAUAAAACCAGACCCCCGGGCCCCUAGAGGUGACAAGUUUAUCAUAGAGUUGAGGGGAGCCCUCGAAGGAAAACCUCUUCUCUAAAUAAAAUUUCUUUUUAGGCUUAGUAACCAAUGUGAGUAGAAAUAGAUCUUCUAGUUUCUACUAGAUUGAGAGAGAUAGAGUGGAGGUGUAGAUCGGAGGAAGCCCGGCCUGUCGGUGUCUACUCUAAGCUUGUACCAGCGGGAUCAAGUUCUCCUAGCCCGAGGCUUGCUCCUAGGAUUCUUCAGUAUUUCGACUUCUAAAUUCUAGUAAGUUCUUGUUUUAUUGUUCUUUUGGUUUAUGAGUUUACUUUAAUCUCUUCGCGUAGAGUUUAGAGUAAUCAUCUCUAGCGUAGACAUGGUGUUUAAGCUAGGAUACUCAUAGAUAUUCCCUGACUAGCUAGACCGUGGUAGUAGCGAGGAACGUGACAUUUCCAAGUUACCUUUGCAAACCAUAUCUCGUUAGCAGGAACGAUAGGGUUUAUAGGUGUUGAUGCAAAAGCUGAUCUGCAAACACAAAGGUCUAAUACCCGAUUUAAACGUUAAGGCGUGCCAGCCGAUUUGACCUUACUAUUGGCAAGGAUGAUAACUCGAAUACUUUGGUCCUGACAACAGCGAUGCGCCCGGAUGCCACGGCCAAGAGGUAUUCAUGCGGAACUUGAGAAUACGCCGAGCUUAAGUCGAAGAACUCCUAAGAACUCGUAGUAAAAGGAAAAAAGUAUGACGAAGUGGUCGAAAAAGUAGGUGCUUGGAAUAUGAGAAAAACGUGUGUUUGAUUGAUUGAUUCUUAAAUUACAAAGCCCUAGGGUAUACAUUUAUACCCUGCUCUGAGAGCUACAACCAGACACGACUAGAAUUCGAAUUCCAAAUUUGGACAGAAUCCGUGUACAAAAUGAUUUAAACAACUAAGGAAAACACAAAACUAUCUUGCCGUGACAGGCUAGAACACCACUACGGACCACUUGGUAACCUCCAAGUCUUCCUUCUACGCCAUCGGUAGACCCCUCAUCGGCAACGAUCAAUACUAGCCAUCGGCAUGAGCACAUCACCACCCAUGGACUUAGCCACAUCCAGCUAUCUCUUCAUCGGCAACCAUCCUCAUCGGCAACUCAUCUUGUAGACCAAGCCCUACCGUCUUGUCUUGCCAACCUGCAUUCUACCGAUCAUGGACACGUGCCCAAAAAUGGUGUCAACACAUGCCCCCCAAUUUCGGAGUAUGAAAUCAUUAAUGCUCCGGAAUUCUCCGCAGCAAUGAUGUCUUUCCGCAAUAAAUUCGCCCAAUUUGGUAACCGACAACCUCAAUCUGAACAACUCUGAUCCUAUUCCUCUACAGAUUCCUCGAAAUCCUCGAUCUCCCCAAACGGACAUUUCCACUUUAGUCGCGCAUCGGCAAUAUUACCGUUAGAGGGACUUGCCGAUGGACGUCCAUACCUUAUCCUGCCAAACGGCUAUCUCCACUUUAUUCGCCCAUCGGUAAUAUGACCGUUACAAGGCGCUGCCGAUGGACCAACCAGGAGAUCUCACACAGUGAAAUAUCUAUGGAUAAUGACCGCUUCCUGUCAAAUCGCCUGCACAAUCCCUUGAUUACCGUGCAAACAGUUACCAUAUCUACCUGAGUACCCUCGGAUUUCACGGAUACGGUGAGGAGAUAAGUCAGAUUUGCCCUUGCCUGUUUUGUCCUAUAAAUAGUUCCUUCUCGGGUACUCCUUCCCCAUCACAUCAUUCCACAACACCAACUCCACUUUCCCGGUGGCGGCACUGUUCGAGAGCUCCAAGAUCUCCGACGAAGUCCUUCUUCACCAACUCCGAAGCCCUCGAUCAUCCUCCUCGUGGCGAGAUGGCCAUCAACUUCUCCGUUCCUGAGAUCAGUUCUUCACUCCACUUUUUGUGCUUUUUCUCACAUCCCUGUUCAUCCGCAAUCUGUUUUACUGAACAUCUUCUUUUCUUUCUUUGUUUUUUUACCUUCAAAACCAUUAGAAUCUGUCCAACAAAAUCGUCAUCCCCACCGAUCAACCACACCUCCAAUGUCUUGGUCCAUUAGGGAAUCCAGAUCCAACCGACCUUAUUAACGCAGAAACCAACAGGAUCCCUUUUAGAGCUGAGAAUUUCUCUUUGGAUCUAUGGAAGGAUACCUUCCAUUCCUGGCCCAGUCCCACCGUGGGAUGGAAGGAUUGGUUCUUGAGGGUCAGCCACUCAAACGAAGUCCGAUGGGGCGAGAGAAAACUAGAUCAAUGCAUCAGGUUAUCUAUUGCCGAUAUGCAUAAGAAUGAAUCACUGCUGAUAGCUGCAUCAUACUUCUGGUCGGACAUGCUCAAUGCCUUCGUCUUUAGCCACGGCCCUGCUUCCCCUACACUUGCCGAUGUAGUUAUGCUCACUGGUCUAGAUAUAUCUUCUGCCGAUAGCACCCAUUUCUUUGACACCACGCCUAGUGCCAAGGUAGAAACCCGCUCCAUCGGCGGCUGGUCCGGGUAUAUUCAGAAGUACCGCAAAACGGGGUCCAUCGAUAUAAAGGAACAAACCACCUUUCUGAACAUGUGGCUGGACAAGUUCGUAUUCUGUAGCCGAUCGGCAGGCCCGACCUCCGUCUAUCUAUUGGCAGCAGAGAGACUGGCUAACGGUGGCCGAUUUCCCCUCGGCCGAUACCUGCUCGGUGCAGCCUAUCAUCUCCUUCACCAAGUGACCAGAAAACUCCUACUCGGCCAGCCCAUCAGCAACUUGGGAGGUCCCUGGUGGUUCAUCGACAUGUGGUUCAGCCUCCACAUGCACAAGCGUCUCGAGUUUGAUCUUUUUGCACAGCGUUUCCCAAGGGACAUAGCCGAGGACCAUGAACUGGAUGAAGAAGAAUUGGCAACACGUCGUCCCCUAAACUUAGGUGAGGCUGCCAUAGCUCUGCCUGGCACAGGAGGUAAUCCAGAUCAGGUCAGCCGAUUCUUCCAAACCUUGUACGAAGGCUUGACCAGAGAGGAGCGAGCAUGGUUGCCUUAUGAUGACCCAAACACCAUGUUUCCUCUGGUUUUCAAUCCGUUCAAUGACGCUCUCAACAAGGAUCAUGAAGUGAUGAUGGCACUGAUCACUCCCAGAGCUAUACCAGUGAAUUUCUUUGGCAGUGGAAAAACCUCCGUCUAGACCUAUAAGUUUUACAAUCCAUCGGCACUAGCUCGUCAAUUAGCUUUCGGCCAGCUGCCGAUUGCACUCUGUUAUGCCGAUGUGAUAAAACCCAGGGAAACCAUCACCAGCCUCCUUGAAUGGACCCGAGUAGCCCAACUGCCAUCAAGUGCCGAUACAGAUGCAGAUUUGUCAGAGUGGGUUCCAGCCGCCUUCAUCACUCAGGCGUACAAGCAAUGGUGGGCAGAAUGGAAAGAGCAUCUAUUCUGCAGAUCGGCUCUUACGUACCACGACAUGAUCGACCCUGAGUAUGAAGUUCCCGAUAAUACUGUAAGUAUCUUCAAACCGAUGUUUCAAUUUUCUCAAUUUUAUUUCCAUCGGUGAUUCACCUUUGUAUCAUCUUGCAGGUUGACAACACCCCUCCAUCGGUUAGCAGGAGUGGCAAGCCGAUUGACCUGUUUCCAUCAAGCCCAAUCUCUCCAAUCGGCAACAACGCUCCCACCCUAGCCGCCAUCAUGCAUCGAGGUGUUCGCCUCAAGAAAGUUACCACCAAAAGGACUCAGAUAUCCUCAUCGGUAGCUGCCUCUACCUUGGCACAGGCGUUCAAGGUAUACCUUCGAUUUUUAUACCGAUUUUAUUCUUAUAUUUGUCAAACUUGUAGUUACGAGCCUUUCUUUCUGUAUCAGCACUCCAGCGCAUCGGCAAGGACCAAAAGCAAAGGUGCCGAUGCCCCCCAGUCCAGCCAGUAGAAGAGAAAAGGUACCAAGAGUACCAGAGCACAGACAAAGCGCCAGAGAGUAGCAACUCCUCCUCCUCCGGUAUCUCCAAUCCCGGUGGAAUCCUCUCCUUCUUCUCCAGAAACACAGACACAGCAAGUACCAUCUCCCUCUCCAAUGCAAGAAGCACCACAAGUGGAAGAACCCCAACUAGAAGAACCUCAACCAGAAGUACCUCAGCCAGAAGAUACAUCGGCUGAUGUGCAUGAACAAACUACCGAUCCAGCGGGUUCCAUUAUAGCAUCGGUGGUCUCUUCCAUCCCAACAAGUACUGCUCCUCCUCAAGGUGACAAACUUUUAUAAGAUUACUGCCGAUGAACUUGUCUUUCCUGCCUCAUAACUUCUGUUAAUUUUUCAGCUGACAUAGUUCCAUCGGCAACUCUGGCCGAUCAACCCGUGGCCCCAUCGGCAUCUUCAAGUCAGAUGCGGGAGAUUGCCCUGAAACAAGUAAGUUAUCCAACCUCUGUUUGCAUCAUUUAUCAAUACCUGAUGAUAGAAUAACUCGUUUUAUUUCCUUUUUAGGAGCAGGACUCUCCCGACAGCUUGUUCUCUUUCACCAUCGUCAUCUCCGAAGACGAGGGUGAAGAAGCAAGCUCUUCUCGGGCAGUUGGGAUCACAUCAGCAGAAGUCAGGGCAAAGCUGGAAGAAUUAUCAGCUCUCCUCCACCAAGACACAGCCCAGCUAGUCGACGAUUUCGAUCCGGCCAAGGCUUUAUUCAAGACCCUGAGAGGCCAAAUCCCCACCGAUGCCGAAGAAGUUCUCUUUCAAGCAGCACACCUGGAGAGCCGUCAACUGCAGUGCCAGAGAGCUGCCCGGUGCCUUGCCGAUAGAGCCGCUCAGACUCGUCUUUCCGAGGAGAUGAUGAAAGAAAAGCUCCUGACCGAUGAGAAGCACAAGAACAUCGGCACCUUGAAGUCCUCAGGAGACGCACUGAAGCAGAAGAUCUCUGAUCUGUCGGCAAAAAGAGAAGCCCUGUUGGCAGAACUCAAGCAAGUGGAGGAUGCCCUAUCCCAAGCCCAACAGGAAGAGAGUCAACUGCCAGAGACCAUCAGGCUCUUCGAGCAAGAGCGAAAUGCCCAUGGUCACAAAGCACUGCAGUUGAAGAAGAAGUUGAAGCCGAUAGAAGGUUCUGCCGAUGAAGACGUCAAAGAGAUAGAAGCAGCCAACCAAAUCCGCCUACGUGCCAUAUCGGCUAUCCAAGCGCUGCUAACCAUGUGAGCUCUUCAUCGGCAAAAUACCCGCUUCUUCCUGCUUUCCAGCGUUCUUGAUGUUUAGUCUAGCCGAUAGGACUGUUAUCGGCAUCUUUUGAAACAUUAAGUCUGGCCACAUUUUAAUCCAGCCGAUAGGAGUGUUAUCGGCAUUUAAACUUUUAUGCAUUGACCCAUAUGCUGGGGUAGUACUUCUUUAGAUAUUUGCCAUUUAAUGCUCUGGGAAAUUCAACCCCUUCAAGAGUUUCUAAAAUGUAGGCAUUACCAGGAGCCGAUUGACUUAUCCGAUAGGGACCCUCCCAAUUGGGAGACCACUUCCCAAACUUUGAACUUUUAGUCCUGAUCGGUAAAAUUAAUUUCCAUACUAAGUCUCCAUCGGCAAACUCCUUAGCUUUUACCUUCUUAUCAUACCAUCUGGCAACUCUUUUCUUAUUCUCUUCUAUACUCAUCAAAGCCCUCAGCCGAUGCCCUGCUAGAUCAUCCAACUCGUCUGUCAUCAAAGUAGCAUAAUCAUCGGCAGCCAACUGAUCUUGAAAAGAUAAUCGCCUAGACCCAGCCUUAAUCUCCCAAGGUAACACUGCAUCAUGCCCAUACACCAACUGAUAGGGUGAAACCUUGGUCGAUCCAUGACAAGCCAUCCGGUAUGACCAUAAAGCUUCAUUUAACAACGUGUGCCACAUUAUAGGAUUUUCUUCAAUCUUCUGUUUAAUAAGCUUAAUAAUUCCUUUGUUAGAUGCCUCGGCCUGCCCAUUAGCUUGAGCAUAGUAAGGAGAAGAGUUCAACACUUUAAUUCUCAUACCGAUUGCGAAUUCAUCAAACUCCCCCGAUGUGAACAUAGUACCCUGAUCGGUAGUAAUUGUUUGAGGGAUCCCAAAUCGGUAAAUAAUGUGCUCUUUCACAAAAUCAAUCAUGUUAGCCGAGGUAACUUUCUUCAAAGGAAUAGCCUCAACCCAUUUGGUGAAAUAAUCGGUGGCAACCAAGAUAAACUUAUGCCCUUUGCUACAUGGCGGAUAAAUCUGACCGAUUAAGUCAAUAGCCCAUCCUCGGAACGGCCAAGGUUUGAUAAUGGGAUUCAUGGCCGAUGCGGGUGCUCUUUGAACGUUACCAAAUUUCUGACAUCCUUGACAUCCCUUGAAAUAUUUAAAGCAAUCUUCAAGUAUGGUCGACCAAUAAUACCCGUUCUUCCUAAUCAUCCACUUCAUCUUGAAAGCUGACUGAUGUGCUCCACAUACCCCUUCAUGGAUUUCUCCCAUCAAACUCCUUGCUUCAUCAUCACCUAAGCAUCGGAGAAGAAUCCCAUCAAUAGUUCGAUAAUACAAUUCAUCUUCGAGGAGCACAUACUUGGUUGCUUGAAACCGAACUCGUCUUUCGACUUUCUUAGAUGGAUCUUUCAAAUAAUCAGCAAUUUCCUUUCUCCAAUCAUCGGCACCAAUUGCCGAUAUCGCAUUAAUCAUAGGCUGAUAUCCCGAAGCAUGCUGAGCCAACCGAUUGGCCUCUUCAUUAUGCAAUCGAGGAACAUACUCUAAUCAGAAAUCCUUGAAUUCCUUUAACAAUUGCAUACUCCGCUCGUAAUAAGUUAUGAGAACUUCACUUCGGCAUUCAUAGUUUCCAGCCAAUUGAUUUAUAACCAGCAUAGAAUCCCCGAAGACCUCAACAGCAUUAGCAUGAACUUCCCUUAACAAUUCCAAUCCCUUUAUUAAAGCUUGAUACUCAGCCUGAUUAUUCGUGGACGUGGCAGCAAUCGGCAAGGAAAACUCAUACUUCCUUCCCCGAGGGGAAAUUAAUACUAUACCGAUUCCUGCCCCCCGGUCACAUGUGGAUCCAUCAAAGAACAGCGUCCAAGGUACAAUUUCCAAAGCCUCCACUACACCGCAAUGUUGAGUUACAAAAUCAGCCAUAAUCUGCCCUUUAACUGCCUUAGCCGAUUCAUAACGCAGAUCGAACUCUGACAGCGCCAAAAUCCAUUUACCGAUCCGGCCACUCAUAAUCGGCAUGGACAGCAUGUACCGGACCACAUCAUCCUUGCAAAUAACAGUGCAUUCGGCCGAUAACAAGUAAUGCCUUAACUUGAUACAAGAGAAAUACAAGCACAAGCAUAGUUUCUCAAUAGCCGAACACCUAGUCUCAUAUCAAUCAACCUCCUGCUUAAGUAAUAAAUUACACGCUCUUUCCCUUCAAAUUCUUGAAUUAAAGCCGAACCGAUGACCAUCCCCUCGGUAGAUAAAUACAAUCUAAAGGGCUUCCCUUACUGAGGUGGAAUUAGAACUGGAGGAUUCAUUAAAUAAUUCUUGAUUUCAUCCAGAGCCAACUGUUGUUCUUUCCCCCAAAUAAAUUCUUGAUCGGCUUUUAGCUUAAGAAGAGGACCGAAAGCACGAAUUUUACGAGAUAAAUUAGAUAUAAACCUCCUGAUAAAAUUUACCUUGCCGAUCAAGGACUGGAGCUCAGUCUUAUUGGUAGGGGCAACUAUUUUUUUGAUGGCUUCAAUAGAUCUUCGACUGAUUUCAAUCCCCCUUCGAUGCACCAUGAAACCAAGAAACUGCCCUGCCGAUACACCAAAUGCACACUUAUUGGGAUUCAUUUUCAAACUGUGCUUCCUUGUGCAUUCCAACACCUUUCGUAGAUCGGCAAGAUGCUUUGUGAAGUCCCCAGACUUAACCACCACAUCAUCAAUGUAAAUUUCCACCACCUUGCCGAUGAACUCAUGAAAUAUAAAAUUCAUGGCCCUUUGAUAAGUAGCACCAGCAUUCUUUAAGCCGAAGGUCAUAACUAUCCAUUCAAAUAAUCCAACAUGACCAGGACACCUGAAUACGGUCUUUGGAAUAUCUUCUUCAGCCAUGAAUAUUUGAUUAUAUCCUGCAUUGCCAUCCAUAAAGCUAAUAAUCCGAUGCCCAGCCGCAGUGUCAACUAGCAGAUCGGCAACUGGCAUUGGGUACCCAUCCAUCGGUGUAGCUUUGUUAAGAUUCCUGAAAUCAAUGCAGACCUGAAGCUUCCCGUUCUUCUUGUAAACCGAAACAACAUUGGAAAUCCACUCGGCAUACCGACACUGCCGAAUAAAUUUGGCUUCAAUAAGUUUAGUUAUUUCGGCCUUGAUGUCAGGAAGAAUAUUAGGAUUACAUCGGCGAGCUGGCUGCUUAUGUGGCUGAAAUCCAGACUUGAUAGGCAACCGAUGUUCAACAAUCGAUCGGUCCAAACCAGGCAUCUCAGUAUAAUCCCAAGCAAAGCAAUCUUUAUAUUCCUUCAACAAAUCAGUUAACUGUUGCUUACACUCAGGACUUAACUUAGCACUAAUAAAAGUAGGUCUAGGCUUAUCACCACUACCUAUAUCUACUUCUACCAAAUCAUCGGCCGAUGUGAACCCCUGGCCUAACUUUCCAUCAUCGGCGAACCUAUCCAUUAAACACUAUCUUCAGAACUGACUGCUUGGAUCGGUGGAAUUUCAUAAUCGGCAACUUUGAGGAAAUCCUUUUCCCACGCUUCUCCUGAAAUACACCUAGUCCUUUCAUAGGUGUCUGCUUCUGCCGAUGCAAUAACAUAGGAAGAAUCUCCCGGGACAAUCUCAAUCUUGUCACCAACCCACUGGACCAAGCACUGGUGCAUUGUAGACGGGAUGCAACAAUUGGCAUGAAUCCAAUCUCUCCCCAGCAACAGAUUGUAGGCACCUUUUCCACUGAUCACGAAGAAGGUAGUCGGCAAGGUUUUGCUACCGAUGGUCAAUUCUAUGUAGAUAGCUCCUUUAACUGGGGACACAUUGCCCUCAAAGUCUUUGAGCAUCAUAUCGCUCUUGGUCAGGUCCUGAUCUCCUUUCCCAAGCUUCUGAUACACUAUAUAAGGCAUGAUGUUGAUAGCAGCCCCACUGUCAAUUAAAAUCUUGGUCAUCGGCGGACCAUCAACCCUUCCUUUGACAAACAGAGCCUUAAGAUGUUGUCUUUCAUCAUCGGCAGGCUUGUCAAAGAUGGCUGUCAUCGGAUCUAGAGCCAACUGAGCUAUCUGGUCGGAAAACUCCAACUCAUCAUCACUGGAUGGCGCAAGGAACUCCAUCGGCAACAUAAAGACCAUGUUGACAUCUGCCGAUGGACCUUUCCCCUUAGGAUCUGGUUGUUGCUGAUCCCCAGACUGCCCAGAGUUCUCCCCCUUGCUUAACUCUUCUCGCCUUUCAUGCUGCAGCCUUCUUUUCUGUGUCCUGGUCAAUCCUUCUGGACACCAUGGAGGAAGUUGCCGAUGCCUGACCGCUGAGGGACGAUUUUCCUUUGAUUCCACUCGAUAAGUAUUGGCAUCCCUGCAAAAUAUGAACUCAUCGGGAACCCGUGAAUUAGCCAUCUCUUCAAGUUCUUCCUGGUUCCUGGGGAAAUACUCAACACGAUCUCCAAGCCUGUCGUGCACGCUGAGCCUGCCCCCUAGCCGAUCACGAACAGAUGUCCUACCAUUAUCACGAUUGCGCCGAUCAGACCUGUCGUACCGGUCAUAACCGUUGCACUCAGGACAAUCUCCGACAGUGGGAAGUUUGAUAUUCUCCUCCCAACAAUGAAUGAAGAACGGGCAAUUCCAGUGAUCCCUAUGCCGAUUCCACUCCUGCCGGCGUCUUUCUUCUUCCCGGCGAUAGUCCUCUUGCUGGCGCCGAUACCGAUCUUCACGUUGCUGCCAAGUCUCCCGAGGCCUUCUAUGAGUUAUUACAAUACCAGAUCGGGGAGGCCUCCUUAAGUUAACUCCCUCCUGGACUAGGCCUUUUCCUUUUGCAUCGGCGGUAGUGAUUUGAUGUUGAGGAUCCACCGAUGCACUUCUUUCAGCUGCCUCCGACGUCAAGACUUUGGCCUUUCCCUUAGCAUCUAGCAUGUUUGUUGGGAAAGGAUGUUGAUCAAUUUUCAUCGGUUUCUGAGCUUUAGAGCUGUCAAAUUUGAUCCUUCCUGACUCUAUAGCCGAUUGCAGCUGUUGCCUAAAUACUUUGCACUCAUUGGUGCUGUGAGAAGUUGCAUUGUGCCAUUUACAAUACUUCAUCUUCUUCAACUCCUCAGCUGAUGGGAUCACAUGAUUAGGUGAUAGUUUGAUCUGACCUCCUGAAGUAGAAAGUCAAAUAUCCGAUCGGCUUUAGUGAUAUCAAACGCGAACUUCUCUGGCUCUUUAUGCCCAAAAGGGCAAGACAUCGGCUUCUUGUUUUUCACCCACUCUGCCAAGCCGAUGACUGGUUCUUCAUCAGAGUCCGAGCUUGUUGCUUCAUCAACGAACGACACCUUUUUGUUCCAUGCUCUCUUGGGCUCGAAAGGCUUGAUAUCUUGGUCAGAAAUUCUCUGCACCAAAUGACUUAAGCUUUCAAACUCCUGAGACGCAUACUUGUCCCUGAUGUGUGGCAACAAACCCUGGAAAGCCAAAUCGGCUAGCUGCCGAUCAUCCAGAACCAGGCUAUAGCAUUUGUUCUUGACUUCCCGUAUUCUCUGCACAAAACUUUCAACCGAUUCAUCAUUGCGUUGCCUCAAUUUAACCAAAUCGGUGAUCUUCUUCUCAUGGACCCCAGAAAAGAAGUACUUGUGGAAUUGUUUCUCCAGAUCGGCCCAGGUAAUCACUAAGUUGGGAGGUAAUGAUAUAAACCAAGUGAAAGCCGAUCCAGACAAUGAUGAUGAGAAUAAACGAACCCUUAACUCAUCCCUGUUACCAGCUUCCCCGCAUUGGAUGAUGAACCUGUUGACGUGCUCCAUGGUUGACGUGUCAUCCUGCCUAGAAAACUUAGUAAAAUCCGGUACCUUGUACCGAUUUGGAAGCGGGAUCAAAUCAUAUGCGGGAGGAUACGGUGUUCGAUAAGAGUAAGUGUUGACUUUGGGUUUUAUCCCAAAUUGCUCUCUCAUCACUUCAGCGAUCUUAUCGGCCCAAUAAGCAUCGGCUUCUUGCCGAUGAGGCGGUUGCGGAUCGGGCGCCUGCUGGUAGGCUUCCACGUGUCGAUGCGGCGCACGAUCUGCAUGGAACAUCGGGUUAAUCAUCUGGCCCCCAAUCUGUGGACUACCAAGCUGUUGCCCGCCAAUCUGUUGUCCGCCGAUCUGCUGCCCAAAAUUCACCGGCUGGUUGGGCAUUCCCUGAUUCUGGAACUCGGGAUAGAUCUGGCCUUGCUGGUACCCUGUAGCCUGAUGACUCUGUUGGGAUGUUUGCGGAAAGACUUGCUGCCCAAGCCAUCCAUUAUUAGCGUCCAUCGGCAUAGGACCUGUCGAUGACCGGUAAUUGGGCAUGAUCAUUGGAUUGACAUACCCUGGCUGAGUCACAAACCUCUGUUGCAUCAGCAUUGAGUCUGCCGAUGCAUUAGGCAUCUGGAACGUCGGAGCUUGAGAAUUCCCAGUGUAAGGUCUUGCAGUAGUAGUUGUGGUAUACUGGGGACUCUGAUUCAUCGGCAUGCUUGGGGGUGCCGAUGUCAUAGUAGCCUUGCCUCUCACAUCAGUCGUCUGUGAUGUACCCGGUGUUAACUCUGGAGGCAUACCAUAACCCCGCCAGUUAGGAGGAGGAAUCGAUCCUGACAUUGCCGAUGCCAACAGAUCUGUGGCGAGUUUAAUCUGCCCAUCUAAAGUCGGUGGAUUUGUCAUCGGCGUAGAUCGUGCAUUAGUGACUCCUAACGUGCUUGGAGGGACAGGAAUUUCCAGGCCCGCAGCGGCUGUAGCAACCGAUGGAGCUGUGACCACCGGUGAUCCUGGCUAAUGAUGAGAAGGACCCACAUAAUCUGGUGGCAAUUGUCCUUCCUUGAAAGUUCUAGCCACGACAUUGAAAACCGUAUUGGACAGUACACCAGCUUGGUUAAUCAAAGCACGGUUGAUAGCACUAUCAACCAUCUCUUAAAGUUUACCAGGAUUGGCUUCAAAAGUAACCUGUCGAGGUGCCGGCAGUGCAUCCUUCUGGAUCACCUCGCCGCUCCUGUUCAUGCUGAAGGACCUCAGGCAUUGCUGCUUGUAAUCCUCCAUGGCUUUAGCAAUAGCUUGCUUCUGCUCAUCCUUGAGAUUGGCUUCCAUCACGGGGAUGACGUUCUCUUGAUCAAACUCAGAAGUCGACAUGUUGAUCUUGAUCUUGGAUCUGUCCCACCGGGUGUGCCAAAAGAUGUGUUGAUGCAAAAGCUGAUCUGCAAACACAAAGGGCUAAUACCCGAUUUAAACGUUAAGGCGUGCCAGCCGAUUUGACCUUACUAUCGGCAAGGAUGAUAACUCGAAUACUUUGGUCCUGACAACAGCGAUGUGCCCGGAUGCCACGGCCAAGAGGUAUUCACGCGGAACUUGAGAAUACGCCGUGCUUAAGUCGACAAACUCCUAAGAACUCGUAGUAAAAGGAAAAAAGUAUGACGAAGUCGUCGAAAAAGUAGGUGCUUGGAAUAUGAGAAAAACGUGUGUUUGAUUGAUUGAUUCUUAAAUUACAAAGCCCUAGGGUCUACAUUUAUACCCUGCUCCAAGAGCUACAACCAGACACGACUAGAAUUCAAAUUCCAAAUUUGGACAGAAUCCAUGUACAAAACGAUUUAAACAACUAAGGAAAACACAAAACUAUCUUGCCGUGAUAGGCUAGAACACCACUACGGACCACUUGGUAACCUCCAAGUCUUCCUUCUACGCCAUCGGUAGACCCCUCAUCGGCAACGAUCAAUACUAGCCAUCGGCACGAGCACAUCACCACCCAUGGACUUAGCCACAUCCAGCUAUCUCUUCAUCGGCAACCAUCCUCAUCGGCAACUCAUCUUGUAGACCAAGCCCUACCGUCUUGUCUUGCCAACCUGCAUUCUACCGAUCAUGGACACGUGCCCAAAAACGGUGUCAACAAUAGGUGCGGGUUGAACAUCCUUUGUGGUGUCUAGAUUCCGUUAGCCUCCCCAAUAGAACAGUAGAUCAUCCUUACCAAGGUUAGAAGAAGAUUACGGUUGUAGUCUUCUCUAUUUAUCACUCACAUCGAGAAACAUUCUUUGUUGCCUAAAGGGUUAGUAGUAAUAGACCGGGUUAGUCAGAUGCACUCUUUAUCCUAGUGGAAAAAAAUAAAUACGAUACUCUAGAUAACCUCCCGGGUGAAGUGCUCACUGAUAUCCGUGCGCUUGCGGAUCAAUUCCUUAUUGCGUCCCCAAAUAUCAACAUUGGCCGAUGUUACUUUCUUCAAAGAAAGAGCUUCAACCCAUUUAGUGAAAUAAUUAGUGGCAACUAAGAUGAACUUAUGCCCUUUGCUUGAUGGUGGGUAAAUCUGGCCGAUUAGAUCAAUAUCCCAUCCCCGAAACGGCCAAGGCUUAAUAAUGGGAUUCAUAGCCGAUGCGGGUGCCCUUUGAAUAUUGCCAAACUUCUGACAUCCUUGACAUCCUUUGAAAUAUUUAAAGCAAUCCUCGAGUAUGGUCGGCCAAUAAUACCCGUUUCUCCUAAUCAUCCAAUUCAUCUUAAAAGCUGACUGAUGCGCUCCACAUACUCCCUCAUGAAUUUCACCCAUCAAACUUUUAGCCUCAUCAUCACCUAAGCAUUUGAGAAGAACUCCAUCUAUAGUUCGAUAAUAUAGUUCAUCCCCAAGGAGCACAUACUUGGAAGCUUCAAACUUGAUAUGCCUCUCAACCUUUUUAGAUGGAUCUUUUAAAUAAUCAAUGAUCUCCUUUCUCCAAUCAUCGGCACCAAUUGCCGAUAACGUGUUUAAUAUGGGUUGAUAUCCCGAGGAAUGCUGAGCUAACCGAUUAGCCUCCUCAUUAUGUAACCGAGGAACAUGCUCUAAUCGGAAAUCCUUGAAUUCCUUUAAUAGUUGCAUACUCUUUUCAUAAUAGGUUAUCAGGACCUCGCUUCGGCAUUCAUAAAUUCUAGCCAACUAAUUUAUGACAAGCAUAGAAUCUCCGAAGAUUUCAACAACAUCAGCACGAACCUCUUUUAACAAAUCCAACCCUUUGAUUAAAGCUUGGUAUUCAGCUUCAUUAUUUGUUGACGUGGCAACAAUCGGCAAAGAGAAUUCAUACUCCUUUCCCCAAGCAGAAAUCAAUACUAUACCGAUUCCUGCCCCUCGGUCACACGUAGAUCCAUCAAAGAAGAGCGUCCAAGGAACAAUUUCCAAAGUCCCCACUGCACCACAAUGUUGAGUCACAAAAUCGGCCAUAAUCUGCCCUUUAACUGACCUAGCCGAUUCGUAACGUAGAUCAAAAUUCUGACAACGCCAAAAUCCAUUUACCCAUCCUACCACUCAUAGACAGCAUGUACCAGACUACAUCAUCUUUGCAUAUAACAGUGCAUUCGACCGACAGCAGAUAGUGCCUCAACUUAAUACAUGAAAAGUAUAGGCAUAAACAUAAUUUUUCAAUUGCCGAAUACCUAGUCUCAGCAUCAGUCAGUCUUCUACUUAAAUAAUAAAUCACACACUCCUUCCCUUCAAAUUCUUGAAUCAAAGCCGAACCGAUGACCAUCCCAUCGGUAGACAAAUAUAGUUUGAAAGGCCUUCCUUGCUGAGGUGGAAUCAGAACUGGAGGAUUUGUUAAAUAAUUCUUAAUUUCACCCAAGCUUGAUUGUUGCUCUUUUCUCCACACAAACUCUUGAUCGGUUUCUAAUUUAAGUAAAGGACUAAAAGCAUGAAUUUUACCAGACAGAUUAGAUAUAAACUGCCUGAUAAAAUUUAUCUUGCCGAUCAAAGACUGGAGUUCAGUUUUGUUGGUAGGAGCAACUAUUUAUUGAUAGCAUCAAUAGAUCUUCUACUAAUUUCAAUUCCUCUCUGAUGCACCAUGAAACCAAGAAAUUGCCCUGCCGAUACACCAAACGCGCACUUAUUAGGAUUCAUCUUUAAACCAUGUUUCCUUCUGCACUCCAACACCUUUCGCAGAUCGGCAAGAUGCUUUGUGAAAUCCCCAGACUUAACCACCACAUCAUCAAUGUAAAUUUCUACCAACUUGCCGAUGAACUCAUGAAAAAUAAAAUUCAUAGCGCUCUGAUAAGUAGCACCAGCGUUUUUCAAGCCAAAGGUCAUGACUAUCCAUUCAAACAACCCAACAUGACUAGGACACCUAAACGCGGUCUUUGGAAUAUCCUCUUCAGCCAUGAAUAUCUGAUUAUAUCCUGCAUUGCCGUCCAUAAAGCUAAUGAUCCGAUGUCCAGCCGCAGCAUCAACCAGCAAAUCGGCAAGUGGCAUUGGAUAACCAUCCAUCGGUGUAGCCUUGUUAAGAUUUCUGAAAUCAAUGCAGACUCGAAGCUUCCCAUUUUUCUUGUAAACUGGAACGACAUUGGAAAUCCACUCGGCAUACCGAUAUUGCCGAAUAAAUUUAGCUUCGAUAAGUUUAAUUAUUUCGGCUUUAAUAUCAGGAAGAAUAUUAGGAUUACAUCGGCGAGCUAGCUACUGAUGUGGCCAAAAUCCAGAUUUGAUAGGUAACCGAUGUUCAACGAUCGAUCGGUCUAAACCAGGCAUCUCAGUAUAAUCCCAAGCAAAGCAAUCUUUAUAUUCUUUUAACAAUUUGGUUAGCUGUUGCUUACACUCAGAAUCUAACUUAGCACUAAUAAACAUAGGUCAUGGCUUAUGACCAUUACCUAUAUCUACUUCUACCAAAUCAUCAGCUGAUGUAAACCCCUGGCCUAAUUUUCCAUCAUCGGCGAUUCUAUCCAUUAAAACUCCUCAUCAGAACCGACUGCUUGGAUCGGUGGAAUUUUGUAAUCGGCAACUUUGAGGAAAUCCGUCUCCCAAAUUUCUCCUGAGAUGCACCUGGUCCUCUCAUAAGUAUCUGUCUCUGUCGAUGCAAUGACAUACGAAGAAUCUUCUGGGACAAUUUCAAUCUUGUCACCUACCCACUGAACCAAACACUGGUGCAUAGUAGAUGGGAUGCAACAAUUGGCAUGAAUCCAAUCUCUCCCCAACAGUAGAUUAUAAGCACCCUUUCCACUGAUGACGAAGAAAGUCGUCGGCAAGGUUUUGCCACCGUUGGUCAACUCGACACAUAUAGCUCCCUUGACUGGAGACACAUUCCCUUCAAAGUCCUUCAGCAUCAUGUCAGUCUUGGUCAAGUCUUGAUCUCCUUUCCCAAGCUUCCGAUACACUGCAUACGGCAUAAUAUUGAUAGCAGCCCCACCAUCGACUAAUAUCUUGGUCAUUGGCUGCCCAUCAACCCUUCCUCUGACAAACAGAGCUCUAAGAUGCUGCCUUUCAUUGUCGGCAGACUUUUCAAAGAUAGCCGUCAUUGGAUCGAGAGCCAAUUGAGCUAUCUGGUCAGAAAAAUCCACCUCCUCGUCAUCACUGGACGGCGCAAGGAACUCCAUCGGCAACAUAAAUACCAUAUUAACAUCUGCCGAUGGCCCUUUUCCUUUAGGAUCUAGCUGCUGCUGACCUUCAGACUUACCAUAAUUCUCUCCUUUACUCAGCUCUUCCCGUCUUUCACACUGCAGCCUUCUUUUCUAUGUCCUAGUCAGUCCCUCUAGACACCAUGGAGGGAGUUGCGGCUGUCUUACCGAUUGGUGGCGAUUUCCCCUUGAUUCCACUCGAUAAGUAUUAGCAUCCCUACAAAAUAUGAACUCAUCGGGAACUCGUGCAUCUGCCAUUUCCUCAAGCUCGUCUUGAUUCCUGGGAAAAUAUCCGACACGGUCACCAAGCCUCUCAUGCACACUGAGCCUGCCUCCCAGCCGAUCAUGAACGGAGGUUCUUCCCCUAAUCGGCCCAUUAAAUCGCCGAUCAUCGUUUUGAUACUGCCGAUUAGGUCUAUCAUACCGAUCAUAACCAUUGCACUUAGGGCAGUCUCUAACAGUGGGCAAUUUGAUGUUUUGCUCCCAACAGUGGAUAAAGAACGGGCAGUUCCAAUGAUCCUAAUGCCGACUCCACUCUUGUCAGCGUCUUUCUUCUUCCCGACGUUGAUCCUCCUGUUGGCGCCGAUACCGAUCCUCACGCUGCUACCAGGUCUCCCGAUGCCUUCUAUGAGUAAUCACAAUACCAGACCGGGGAGGCCUUCCUAAGCUGGUUCCUUCCUGAAUCAGACCCUCGCCUUUAGCGUCAUCGGCAGUAAUCUGAUGUUGAGGAUCCACCGAUGCGCUUCUUUUAGCUGCCUCUGACGUUAAGACCUUGGUUUUUCCCUUAGCAUCCAACAUAUUUGUUCGGAAAGGAUGUUGAUCGAUCUUCAUCGGCUUCUGAGCUUUGGAAUUAUCAAACUUAAUUCUCCCGGAUUCUAUAGCCGAUUGCAGGUGUUGCCUGAAAACCUUACACUCAUUUGUGCUGUGAGAUGUUGCAUUGUGCCACUUGCAGUAUUUCAUCUUCUUUAAUUCUUCUGCCGAUGGAAUCACAUGAUUGGGUGACAACUUAAUUUGUUGCUCUUGAAGUAGAAAGUCAAAUAUCCUAUCGGCUUUGGUGAUGUCAAAUGCAAACUUUUCUGGUUCCUUAUGCCCAAAAGGGCAAGACAUCGGCUUCUUAUUUUUCACCCAUUCCGCCAAGCCGAUGACCGGUUCUUCAUCAGAAUCUGAGCUUGCUGCCUCAUCGAUAAAUUACACUUUUUUAUUCCAUGCUCUCUUGGGUUCAAAAGGUUUAAUAUCUUGAUCAGAAAUCCUCUGCACCAAAUGACUUAGACUCUCGAACUCUUGAGAAGCAUACUUGUCUCUGAUAUGUGGCAAUAAUCCCUGGAAAGCCAAAUCGGCUAGCUGCCGAUCGUCUAGAACCAGACUAUAGCACUUAUUCUUGACCUCUCGCAACCUUUGCACAAAACAUUCAACCGAUUCAUCAUUGCGUUGCUUCAACCUAACUAAAUCGGUAAUCUUCUUCUCAUGAACUCCAGAAAAGAAGUAUUUAUGGAAUUGUUUCUCUAGAUCGGCCCAAGUGAUCACUGAAUUAGGAGGUAAUGAAAUAAACCAAGUAAAGGCCGAUCCAGACAAAGAUGAUGAGAACAAGCGAACCCUUAACUCAUCUCUGUUAGCAGCUUCUCCACACUGGAUGAUGAAUCUAUUGACAUGCUCCAUAGUUGACGUAUCAUCCUGUCUAGAAAACUUGGUGAAAUUUGGUACCUUGUACCGAUUUGGAAGUGGAAUUAAGUCAUAUGCAGGAGGAUAUAGUGUCCGAUAAGAGUAAGUGUUGACUUUGGGUUGUAUCCCAAAUUGGUCUCUCAUCACUUCAGCUAUUUUAUCGGCCCAAUAAACAUCGGCAUCUUGCCGAUGAGGUGGUUCUGGAUCUGGCACCUGCUGAUAAGCUUCCACGUGUCUCUGAGGUGCACGAUCUCCAUGGAACAUUUGAUUAACCAUCGCCUGCUGACCACCAAGUUGCUGGCCAAGAUUCAUCGGCUGGUUGAUCAAUCCUUGAUUCUGAAACCCAGGUUGGACUGGUCCCAGUUGAAAUCCUACAUCCUGAUGAUUCUGCUGAGGCAUCUGUGGAAAGACAAACUGCCCUGUCCAAUCACUAUUAACAUUCAUCGGCGUAGGUCCUGCCGAUGACUGGUAAUUAGGCAUCAUCAUUGAAUUGACAUACGUUGGCUGUGUCAUAAACCUUUGCUGCGUCGGCAUUGGAUCUGCCGAUGCAUUAGGCAUCUGGAACGUUGGCGCUUGAGAAUUCCCAGUGAAAGGUCUUGCAGUAGUAGUUGUAGAAUACUGGGGAUUCUGAGUCAUCGGCGAGCUUGGAGGUGCCGAUGCCAUAGGAGCCUUGCUUGUCACGUCAGCCACUUGAGAUGUCCUAGGGCUUUUUGCCAUAAACUCUAGAGGCAUACCAUAUGCCCACCAGUUGGGAGGAACAGAUCCUGACAUUGCCGAUGCCAAUAAAUCUGUAGCAAGUUUGAUUUGCCCGUCUGACGUUGAUGGAUUAGUUGUCAUUGGUGUAGACUGCGCAUUAGUGAUCCCUAAUGUGCUUGGCGGAGAAGUUGCUUCUGUACCCGCAACGGCUGUAGUAGCCGAUGGAGCCGUAACCAAUGGUGACCCUGGCUGAUGAUAGGCAGGACCCACAUAAGAUGGUGGCACUUGUCCUUCUUUGAAAGUUCUGGCCACAGCAUUGAAAACUGUAUUGGACAGCACACUAGAUUGAUUGAUUAGAGCACGAUUAAUAGCAUUGUCAACCAUCUCUUGAAGUUUACCAGGAUUGGCUUCAAAAGUGAUUUGCCGAGGCAUCGACAAUGCUUCCUUUUGGAUCACCUUGCCACUCCUGUUGAUGCUGAAGGAUUUCAAGCAUAGCUACUUGUAAUCCUCCAUAGCUUUCGCCAUAGCUUGCUUUUGCUCAUCUCUGAGAUUAGCUUCUGUCACAGGAAUGACGUUCUCCAAGUCGAAAUCGGUGUUCGACAUGUUGAUCUUGAUCUUGAAUCUCGAUCCCACUGGGCGUGCCAAAAGAUGUGUUGGUGCAAAAGCUGAUCUGCAAACACAAAGGGCUAAUACCCGAUUCAAACGUUAAGGCGUGCCGGCCGAUUUGACCUUACAAUCGACAAAGGUGGUAACUCGAACACUUUGGUCCCGACAAGAGCGAUGCGCCCGGAUGUCACGGCCAAGAGGUGCUCACGCGGAACUUGAGAACACGCCGAGUUUGACUCGACGAAUUCCUAAGAACUCAUAGUAAAAGGGAAAAUAUGACAAAGUCGUCGAAAAGUAGAUGCUAGAAUAUGUGUAAAAACUUGUGUUUGAUUGAUUGAUAGAUAUCCUCAUUACAUUACCACGGGGUCUACAUUUAUACCCUGUUCAAAAGAACUACAACCAGACACAACUAGAACUCGAACCACAAAUUAAAUGGAAUCCGUAUACAAAAUGAAUUCUAAUAACUAAGGAAAUCAUUAAACUAUCCUCCGCACCCGAUCGGUACACCGCCACGAGUCAAUCGGCAACCCUUGCGCUUUUCUUCAUAAGCAUCGGCAGACCGCCUGUUACAGCCAUCAGCAACCAUCAGCACUAGUCAUCGGCACGAACAUAUCACCACUCCUAGACUUGGUCAUAUUCGGUUGUUUUCCCAUCGGCACCAACCUUCAUCGGCAACUCCCCUGUAGACUAGUCACCAUUGCUCCACCUAUCGAUCUACACUUCAUUAACUCUAGGUGCGUAUCCAAAGAUACGUGUCCAAAAAUGGUGUCAACAAGUCUGAAUUUCGGCCGUAUCAGCAGCCAGGACGCCGAUGCAACCCUAAUGUAGUUCCUGACAUUAAGGCCAAAAUAACUAUGUUGAAUGAGGCAAAUUUUAUCUGGUAGUCUAUAUGUAGAGUGGAUUUCUAAUGUGGUUCCUGUCUAUAAGAAAAAUAGAAAACUUCGUGUUUGUAUUGAUUUCAGGAACCUCAACAAAGCUACACCGAUGGAUGGCUAUCCAAUGCCUGUUGUCGAUUUGUUGGUUGAUGCUGCAGCCAGACAUCAGAUUAUCAGCUUCAUGGAUGGUAAUGUAGGUUACAAUCAAAUAUUCAUAGCUGAAGAAGAUAUUCUCAAGACUGCAUUCAGAUGUCCAGGUCAUGUGGGGUUAUUUGAGUGGAUAGUCAUGACCUUCGGUUUGAAAAACACCGGUGCUACUUAUUAGAGAGCUAUGAAUUUUAUUUUUCAUGAGUACAUUGGCACAUUAGUGGAAAUCUACAUUGAUGAUGUGGUAGUUAAGUCUGGAGAUAUCGCAAAACAUCUAGCCGAUCUACGAAAGAUACUGUAGUGCAUGAGGAAGCAUGGAUUGAAGAUGAAUCCUAAUAAAUGUGUGUUUGGUGUAUUAGCAAGUCAAUUCUUGGGUUUUACGGUGCACCAGAGAGGUAUUGAAAUUUGUAGAAGGUCUAUUGAUGCAAUUAACAAGGUAGUUGCUCUUGCCUUAAAACUGAACUGCAAUCUUUGAUUGGCAAGAUUAAUUUCAUCAGAAGGUUCAUAUCUAAUCUAUCGGGCAAGAUCAAGGCUUUCAGUCUGUUGCUUAAAUUGAAGGCCGAUCAGGAAUUUAUAUGGGGUGCUGAGCAGAAGUUGGCCCUAGAUGAAAUUAAGAAAUACUUGACAAAUCCUCCAGUGCUAGUUCCACCUCAACACGAGAAACCCUUCAGGUUGUAUUUAUCGACUAAUGAUACUGUUAUCAGUUCAACUCUUAUUCAAGAGUUUGAAGGGAAAGAAUGUGUUAUUUAUUAUUUGAGCAGAAGAUUGGUGGAUGCUGAGACAAGGUAUUCGGCCAUAGAGAAACUAUGCUUAUGCUUAUACUUUUCUUGUAUUAAACUGAGGCAUUAUUUGCUAUCGGCCGAAUGCACUAUCAUAUGCAAGGAUGACGUAGUCAAAUACAUGCUGUCGAUGCCAAUAUUGAGUGGUAGAAUCGGCAAGUGGAUUUUAGCAUUGUCAGAAUUUGACCUACGUUAUGAAUCCGCUAAGGCAGUUAAAGGGCAGGUUAUGGCCGAUUUUGUCACUCAGCAUUGGAACACAGUAGACUCUCUUGAAGUUGCCCCUUGGACACUUUUCUUUGAUGGGUCUACAUGUUGUGAAGGGGUAGGUAUCGACAUUGUGUUAAUUUCACCUUAAGGAAGUAUGAGUUUUCAUUGCCAAUUGUUGCUACAUCGACAAACAAUAAGGCUGAGUAUCAAGCUUUGAUAAAAGGGUUGGAAUUACUUAGAGAGAUACGUGCCAAUGCUGUCGAGAUCUUCGAUGACUCUAUGCUAGUUAUAAAUCAAUUGGCAGGGAUUUAUGAAUACCGAAGUGAAGUUUUGAUUUCAUAUUAUGAGAGAUGUUCGCAAUUAUUGAAAGAGUUUAAAGAUUUUCAUCUUGAACAUAUUCCUCGAUUGUAUAAUGAAGAAGCUAAUCGCCUAGCUCAGCAAUUCAGGGUAUCAGCCUAUCCAAGAGGUGCUGACAUCAACAGUUGAUGCCGAUGACGGGAGAAUAGAGAUUGCCGAUUACUUAAGGGAUCCAUCCAAGAAGGUUGAAAGACAUAUAAGAUUUCAAGCUACUAAGUCUGUGCUCCUCGAUGAUGAAUUAGAUUAUUGGACUAUAGAUGGAGUUUUACUCAGAUGUCUUAGCGGUGAUGAAUCGAAAAGCUUGAUGGGUGAAGUUCAUGAAGGAGUGUGUGGGGCACAUCAAUCGGCUUUCAAGAUGAAAUGGAUGAUCAGAAGGAAUGGAUACUAUUGGCCGACUAUUCGUGAAGAUCGCUUUAAAUAUUUUAAAGGAUGUUAGAGGUGUCAAAAGUUUGGCAAUAUUCAAAGAGCGCCUACAUUGGCCAUGAAUGCCAUUGUUGAUGCGAAAAUAGGUCUGCAAACACAAAGGGCUAAUACCCGAUUCAAACGUUGAGGCGUGCCAGCCAAUUUGACCUAGCAUUCGACAAAGGUGAUUGUUGACGGUCCUUAAGUAUCAAAUUUAAUUAUCAAAUAAACAAAGAAAAGGAUCCAAAUGAAAUCAACAUCUAGACUUAGGGUUUUAUCUGACAGAAUUCCACGAGUUUUGGUGUUUGUCUAUUUCUGUAGGGGGUUUAUCACGAAAUACGGAAGAAAGGCCCACACGUCGGGAUUACAUAGAGAUAUUAACGUGCCGCGCAAUUAUCUUACAUCUAGAAGACUCUAGAAGCCACGGGAAGGAAGCAGAGGCCGAACGGGGCCAGGCACUAGGCGCCCAGCCAGUUGACCUGGGCGCCCGCCCCCUGUUGGACUCCAAUCAGGACACUCUUUCGAGAAAGAUCUCCACCGACCUAAAGGAUCAAGGAUAACCGUUCAAUCAAUGUCGGUUUUAUCCAACGGCCCAUAUUCACUUGAAGGGACUAUAAAACCAGACCCCCUGGCCCCUGGAGGAGAGAGCCUCUCAACCCUAAUUCAUUAUUCCUCAAGGGAGAAGAAGCCUCUGAUCAAGCAUAGAGCCACCACAUCAAUUAGACAUCUAGAUUAGCAUAGCCACGUAGGAUUAGAACAAGAAGGAGUCAAUCUUCGAUUGGUUUCCGGAUCUAUCAAGAGGAUUCUUGGUAAUUCUCUAAUUGUUCUUCUAAUUGUUCUUCUAAUCAUCUUUGUCCUUCAAUAUUAUGAAUAUGACUUUGUUCUACUUCAAUAUAUUGCUUAUGACUUUGCUCUACUUAUUUAUAUUCAAGAUUAUAUUGUUCUUAGUUUAUCAUAGUUAUUUACUUGGCUUAGUUAGAUUGGAUCUAUAUACAUGUUUAGGAUCGUAUAGCGUUUAUCCAUCGGAUCCAUGGGUAAAUGAUAGAUAUUGUGUAGGCGUGGUGCUUAUACCGUAUUUAUCUGCGAUUGUACCCAAUAUGCUAGAUCGUGGGGUAGUUCGUGAUAGUGACAACUUAAUUGAUUCUUAUAUAGUCCCCCUCUCGUGUACUGGGUUGGCAGAGCAAUAUUAUUAUAGGGGAGUGAUUGCUAUGUUUCUCAUUUACCUUGCUAAUAUCACUAUGCAUGGGCGUAGUCUUGUCUCGCAAUGAUUGCUAAGUAUGCUUGCACUAACUAUGAUAAUGCUAGACAAUAUAGUUGAGAAUAACUUAGGAAAUAUUCUUGUAGUUCAUUCUAAUUCCAUGCUAAUGACUUUCUAGAGUAUCUAAUUGAGGUGCUUAUCAUAUUUAUUAUGUGGCUAAGUUAUGCUGAUCAGAUUAAUUAUCUUUGUCACUAUUCAUUACUUCAUAUAUCCUUUAUGUGACACUUACCCCUGUAUGAAAGAGUUAGAUAAAUGUUCUCAAUUAUACAUGCAGUGAUAGAUACUCAAUCUUAUAUUCCAUUCUAUAAUCAAUAUUGAUGAUUACUAAUGCCUUUCCAGUGGUAAAAAUAUAAAUAACGAUACCUGGAAUACUUUCCGGUUAAAAUGCUACAUCGGUAUUAAUCUGUGCGCUUGCAGAUCCCAUUCAUUAUUUAUUUAGAAGAGCAAUUGUGUAACACUCCUAGUGUUAGCUUGCAUGUUAACCAUGAGCAUUGCAUCAACAUAAGCAUCAUCAUGAUCACUCAUGAGCAUCAUACCAUGAUCACAUGCCAUUUGCUACAUGUACUUUGUGAUUGAAUUGCUAUAUGACUUGCUAUGGUUGAUUGUAAUGGGUGACUAAGGUAUACAAGUGUACAUUGUCUUCCAAAAUACUUUAAUCAUGUUUAGGACAUCAUUUUGAACAAAGUUCAUGUUGAAGGUUUUGGCCAAAAAUGCCCCUAAGUCAUGGUUAACCCUAGAUUUACCUAAUUGACCCCCUAGACCUCCUUUCAAAUAUGUUUUAUGAAACUGGUGUUAGAGACCUUGCAUGUAAAUGACACCUAAAACAAAGUUGUAGUACAUUCCAUAAGCUACAAAAGUUAUGUUGAUGACUUUUCAUGAAAAAGCAUGGAACACAUUCAAAAGUUGCUCACAAGCCAAAAAUCAGGGCUGAUUUCACACUUGGCCGAAUUUGGCUAAGUCUUAAGUCACACAGUUUCGAGGUGGGGUACUUUGGAGCGUUGUAGUUUGAAAUCCAGGUCGAGUUAGAUGUUGAUCCUUUGAGCAAACUUGUAGAACUCGUGUAGCUCUACCCAAAGGACCAAAUCCGUACCAAAACCAUCGAGUGAGCUGAGAGUAAAACGUCGACCAACUUCAGGAUUCAGUCACUGCAAUCGGCGUUUCAGAAAAACGAUUCAGUUUGGAUAGAGUUCACCCGCCGCCGCGUGUCCGGCCACGUGCCGGCCGUAUGCCGUCGACGGCCCCCCUGUCAGCUCCCACGGCGUCCCCAAGUCACCACGCACCGAGUGGAUGCCUCAGACGCGACCCCCACUCGCUCAGAGCGCUUCAUUUCGCUCCGCCAUUGUCAUGGCGAGCUCCGCCGCGCUUCGGCGAGCUCUUCCGGCUGCUCCUUCGUGUCUCCGGCCGAGCCAGUCCGCCCAGAGCUCCGCCUCGACCUCCUCUACCUUGACGUCCACUCCAUUUCCUUAGCCAAGCACCGGUGAGGUCACAUUGCCCACUCCGUCGCGAGCUCCACCUCGCUAGAGUUCAUAGGGAUCACUGGCAACGUGGCCAGACCUCUCUGGUUCACCUCUGGCCGUGAUUCUUCUUCCUGUAGCUUCGCCUUGAGUCACUCUUGCUCGUCCGCAAGCUCUACCGCGUCACCAUUGCCUAGAUCCGCCGGCGUAACGCCGCGCAGCGCCGCCGAGCCGCCAUUCCCGACGGCGAGCACCCUAGGGUCCCGUAGAGCGCGGGUAAAGUAGGUCACUGAGUCCGCCUUGAUGAGAGGAACACGUAGAUGCCCUUGGAUCCGGCCGAGACCUCGCCGUCGUCGAGCUUCGCCUGGGACGAGCGUCUCCCCUGUCACUGUGUCACUAGCGAGCGGGUCCCGCUGACCAGCGGAUCCCACCUGUCAGUCUCACCCUCUCACACUCUGGUCACUGUGUAGCCGAUUCUUUGCUGUUUUUGUAAAAUUCAUAUCUGGAGUUUUAUAGAUCCAAAUGACAUGGCUCAAAUUUUGUUAGGUUCUUGCAUAAGUCUAGUUUUUAAUAAAAAUAUGAAACAUGCCAUGUUUUUGCAGAAAUAAAUAGAUAUAAUUUAAUUUUGGUCUAUUAGGAGGUAAUUAUAUAUUGAGAUCUGUUGAUCUGUUGGCCAUGAAAAUUUAGGGUGUUGUUACUUAUGAUAUCAAUAGGCUCUGAUAAAGUUAUCAUGAUUUUUGGAAGCCUGAUUGUGAAGUUAUAAAUAUUUCUUGUUCAAAUAGGAGUUUCUUGUGGUAUUUUUAAUAAAUAAAGUAUGACUCGUUUGGUGGUGAAACUUGCUGAGUGUUGUACUCAGGGGUAAACAAAGCCAGGAAAAAUCUGAAAUCUGUUGUUUGACACUUUUUGAUAGGGUUUCACAUUUAUGCCUUGCAUGCCUUUGCUAGCUUGUUAUUUUUGUAUCUCACAAUCUGUAUGUGCAAGUGCCCUGAAAAUUUUACAUUAACCUUGUGUUAGCAUAAGUAACUUGCUGUAAUUUUCUUAGAAUUCUUGGAGCACUUGGAAUACAUGCUCAUUAAAUCACCUUAAUAAUUCAAUAAAUGAAAAAGGGGAUGAUGAAAAUGAGUUUAGACCUUGCCAUGUUGUUUUCUAGUGUUUCUUAGACAUGUUCCAUCUACUGGUGCAAUUGGAUUGACCCUUUGAUGCAUUCUUGUUAUGUGCAAAAUAUUAUUUUUGCUAUUUAUGCCUUUCCUAGAGCAAUUCUGGGUAGCUGAUAGCAAUUGCUUAAGAACUAAUUGAAGAUGAUGUUUUCUGGGAAACUUGUAUACAACAAACUUGUAGAUAACUUGCUUAUCUACUUCGUUUCCAAGUUUCAUGACAGUUGAUUGAGUAGUUUAAAAGUUAUGAAUGUUACAAUUGGCUGCUACAAAGUGCUUGCUCUCUGGAGUUUCCAGGACAGCCAGCCAACUUUGUAUGUUUUUGCCUAUUUCGGUUGGGAAUCAUGAUGGGGUGUCUAAAAGUGAAUUGUAGAUAAUUUACUAAGCUUUCCAGAAAGUAUUUACUUGCUUAGUUUGGCCAACUGAUGCUUAGGUUAUAGCUGAAACUUGUGACAAGUUGGUCUGUCUACAAAACCAGUGGCUGAAUAGGAGUGACUAAGGUUGUUUAAUUUGUCUAGUUAGCCUCUCUACCAGAGAAGAAGUAUGCACUUACUUGUUAUCCUAUGAUUCACUUAAUUUUAGGAGUGUAUGCUCAUGUUAUACCUUGUUUUAUGUUCCUUUGGCUCUUCAUCAUGACAUCAUGCAUCAUAUGUGCAUUCUCUAUAUUCAUCUCCUUGUCAUGCAUACAUAGGUGUACCCAAGGGCGUGACAGUGUUGGAGUUCGAGCUACCGGAGUCGGAAGGUCAACAAGGGGAGCCACCUCAAGGAGCUGAGAAGGAGGAGGACUUGCCAGAGUGUCCCGACCAUCGCCCGUCCACCUACGUUGAAGGCAAGCCCCGGAGCAUUAUAAGCCUCCUACUAUUUCUUUAUAUCAUAUCCAGCUAUAAAUUGACUAUGUUUAUGUAUUGUUACACUAAGUGUUAGACGUUGAUAUGACACCCUUGCUGCAUAAUGACUACCUUGUCCACCUUAUACCUCACCUAAGUAGGUCCAGGAUCGAAAUGAUGCUUAGCCAUGCUUAGCUCGGUAGAAGCCGGGUGAUUUACUGUCACCUGCGAGAGAUAGGUGGAUGCUGAUCACGGUUGGCUAUAUUUGCUAUCGUGGAAAUAACCAUGUGCUAAUAAUGAACUUGAGACUGGGCAGGAUGAUGAUAGUGCAGCAACAAGGCAUGGAGGUGUUGGGUGUGAAUCUAUCCCCGUCUGUGUCGGUUAAGGACCGAAUCGCUGUACGUCCCCGUGUCAUGUUGAACGCAUGCCUAUCACUUAGUUGGCCGGAUAAGUCGUUCCGACCGUGAAGCCUACGAGUGCAACUCAGGCCGGAUACCCUGUUCUGUAUGAGUGCGCACCCCGGUUGGGAGUAAGUAUGUGCGGGGAGUCAAUGGCGUAAGUCCGAGGAGUCAGGUUAGAGUCCUGACCCUGGCAGAUUGGUGGUCCCUGGGGGUGCGGCGCUGGACGGACCCGCGAAUUGGUCCGGAGUUGUGCUAAAGGUGAUCCGAGCUGCCCUCAUGAAGUAUGCUUGGGUGAGUGUUAGGAAUACCCCUCCAGCUGGAUAGGAAUCGACUUGAAUCGCCGUCUCUCCCGGAUAGUGAGAACUUGACUUGGGCAGCGGCAACGUAGAAUUCACUAAGUAAACUUAAUGGCUAUGAUGAGAAUGUUGAUAGCAAAGUGAUAAUCCGGAUAUGGUUAUUAUUGAAAUGCUUAAUUACUCAAGUGUGUGCUUAGAACAGGUGCUAAUCUAGUGAAUAGUUGCUAAGGGAUGAACCUGCUGCUAAAAUAUUAUAAAUGAGUUACUUACAUCUAAAGCCUUUAUGCAAAAGGUGAGUCAAACCAGUCCACAAAGAUUAGCCUUGCAUACUCUUUUGGUGUCACUUUAUUUCUGGUUUAUGACGGGUAAGUCUAGCUGAGUACCUUCUCGUACUCAGGGUUUUAUUUACCCCUGUUGCAGAUGACGUCGUUUAUCACGGCUAUUGUGCAAACUGCCAUCAUCCGGCUGCGGAUGAUAAAUAGAUCAUGGGCGUGAUCAUCUUCUCUAUCUUCAGUUGUGCUUUUGUUGGGUUUGACCAUGGAACUAGCAUGUAAUAUAAACUGAGUGUGUGAUGUUCUAAAACAACUUUGUUUCCGUUACCAAACUGGUUUGUAAUAACCAUGUUUAAACUCUGAUGUGAUGUAAAACUAUGUUCUGUGAUGAAUGUAUGUAAUCUGUGAUGGCGAUGCUUGAUCAUGUACGGUCUUGGUUGUAUGUUGGUUGAAUCGAGGUCUUUUGAGAUUUCGUCGGACUACCGGGUUUAUAUGGGUUCAAGUCCAUUGGCUUGACUGCCUCCGUGGUCGCUAAUUCACUUGAAUUCUUAUAAAUUGGACGGUUCUGUUCCAGCUGGCAUCAGAGCAAGAUUAAGCAUUUAACCAUCAUAGAUGUAUUUAAAAACAAAUGAAUUUGGUUUUCCAAAGCUAAUUUGGCAAGUUAGACUAUACAUAGGGCUGUUUUAAAAAUGUUUCAUAACUUAUACCAUGCCAGUGGUCAUACCCUUUAAGCCCAUAUAAGGACUUUUAGGUGGCUUAAUAUUACUAACAUGGGGGUUUUUCCUUUCGUCGUCCAUAUGGCGUGCAAUAAUAUGGAUGCCACUUACUUAAGUGGUAAUGAAUGGAUCACAUACCUCUACGCCAUGGUAAGCAAUGUUUGUUUUCCUUUCGUCGUCCAUACGGCGUGAAAUUGUAUGGAUGCCGCUCACUUGAGUGUUAAUGUAUGGAUCUGUAUGCCUCUACGCUACGGUAAGUGUGAGCUGUGAGAGCAUGACCGUCCAACCGUGGGUCUAGGGGAGUGUUAGCUGUGGUUACUGGAAUAUUUACAUGUUUCACACAUGUAUAUAUGAAGGUACUUAAUUGUGGGUAGUAGGUGCAGCCAUGUAUACAUAUUUGAUGUAUAUGUGGCUGCAUCCCAAUUGGGGUAGUGUGCUGCGAUAUAUGUUCGGAAAUAUAUAUCGAAGUACCUAGCUUGAAUAUACAUGAUUGGAUUUUCAUUUCUGCACAUAUACUCUUGUGGGGUUGGGCUGAAAUGAAACUUUCUGUAGGUACCCUAACAACGAAACAUGUAGACCGUGUAGUUGCGUAUAAGGAGUGCACGUAUGUAUGCCACCGACUAUAUCGUUAGAACUUUCUUCCAGGAAUGGAAAGGACGUAUGGAACGUGCAUGCAUCAUGAAACAUUCAUACAUUCCUUAUGCACUACUUAAGUAUUAAAUUCUGAAAAUAUAUCUAAUUACCUUUCCUUGUAAUUAAUCUCCCUUACUCAAAUGUGGUCUUUCUACAGAUGGCAGCCCCACACGCAAGUGAGACUUUCCUGGACAUGUUUGGCACUCCUACUUUGUUGUGGAGGGUGCUAAGUUCAGUUGGAUAUGAGGAACCACCAAAGUACACUUGGACCGAGUCUGAGCAUGCAGGAGCUUUACCUUGGGUAGAUGUCCAAAUUACAAUUUCCCCUUGUCCCAAUAACCCACAGUGGCUAGGUUGGAUAGUAGAGUGCGAUGGUCAAACUCCUUGGGAGAGUGCCCAAGUAGCUGCCUUAGAAGCAUUGUUGGAGAUAUGCCAAGAUUAUGGUGACGAACUAGUGAAUGGCCCAGCUGGAUCCAUCCCUAGAGUGAGUGUGACUGACACAUUUGUAUCUCAGAUAGGAAAUGAGCCUCUAGAGAUGAGAGAAACCAUGCUAGGAUAUAGCUCUAGCCCUGCCAUGAGUGCCAUGCUGGCGGUACUUAAGCUGCACUAUGUACGCCAGGACACCUACAUAGAGGCCAUGCUAGCGCUCCAACAAGCUCAAGUUGGGCAGCGCAAACUGCGCAAGCGCGUGCGCAAGCACCGCAAGGCUUUUAGGGAUGCACAAGCUGAAAUCCAAAACUAUCACACCGCUUUGCAAGCCCGCCGCAACCAAGUUGAAAACGCAGUUAGAGAGCGCAAUGAGGCGCAAGCCCGCAUGAUGCAAAUGACUAGAGAGAGAGAUGAGGCUAUGCACUUAGCUGAGAAUAGAGAAGCUGCUAGAGUUAAAGCUUUGUUCUGUGCUGAAAUUAGAGAGGAAGAACUGAUCACUAGGAUUGCUGAGCUGCAGUUAGAUGUCCAUCGCCUAAAUAAUAUCAUAAAUCCUAUCCCACAACCUGUCCCCUUUAAUCAUGAAGAAGCUCCUAGUGAGGAAGAUCAGGAUGAUGGCAUCAUUUCUAAUAGAGAAUCUGAGGAAGAUAUGUAGCCUAGCAAUGAUUUUCAUGCUCAUGUAUCAGUUUCCAUCUCUUUAUGUAAUGGGCAUAUAAUCUGAAUUUCAGCUGAGACUCUAUGUAUUUGGCCAUGGUGCCCUCCUAUAAGACUUAAGUUGUGGCAAUGACGUUAAGUAACCCUAUGCACUUAUUGUGAUGCUCCAUGUUUAUGUUGAGCUUAAAUAAUUUUCUACAAUGACUUUAAUCCUUGUGAAUUGUGGCUGUGAAUGAUCGCGAGAAUAACCAAGUGUUGUGGAUGAUAUUUUCUUGUUGUACAUGGAUUAUUGUGCCUUGAAUUAUGUGAAUUUACUUCAUUAAAUUCCGUAUGGCAACAAUUGAGGUUCAUGGCAAUUAUAUUUGUUGUCCUAAACGGUCACUUGGUAUGCCUUGUGCAGAUGGCUUGCAAUACUCGCUCCGGUCACAAUGAGGUGCCGCCACCACCACCUCCUCCCCCGCCUACGCCUGCUGAGCUCUUGGCAACUCUUGUUGAGGGCCAGCGAAUGCUCAGUGAAGCUAUGCAGACCAUGGCGCAGCAGAACCGGGGUGGUCGCCAUGUCCGUCAAGGUGGAGAGGCUAAUCAGCACAGUAGCUUCAAGGAUUUCCAGGAUACCAAGCCGCCGCUUUUCAAGGAGGCUGUCGAACCUCUAGAAGCCGAUGAAUGGCUGAACACUCUUGAGCAGAAAUUCCGCUUGCUGAGGGUAACCGAAGAGCUAAAGGCGGAAUAUGCAGCCCACUAGUUGGAGGGCAAAGCAGGUUUUUGGUGGAGUCAUUACAGGACUAGCUUGCCUGCCAAUGCUGUUGUGACCUGGGAUCAGUUCAAAACUGCUUUCAGGAACACCUAUAUUCCCCAAGGCUUAAUGACUAUCAAGCAUACUGAGUUCAUGAACCUGACACAGGGCACUAAAAGCUUGACUGAGUAUCUUCAUGCUUUUAAUAACCUAUCUCUCUAUGCUCCUGAAAUGGUUGAUAAUGAAGCCAAGAAGCUUGCAAGUUUCAAGAGAGGUUUGGGACCCAUGCUGUCCAAGAAUAUGGCUAGUAACAAGAGUACCACCUUUAAUGAGUUUGUGAGUGAUGCGUUGACUCAGGAGAACUCCAAUGCCGUGUAUGCCGCGUCCAAGAACCACAAGAGAGCCUAUGAGGCAGGUGCUUCACAGUCCAAGGCUCCAGUGACGAAUAAGCCGGCCUAUCGCCCACCAAAUGCUGUGACAAGGUAUAGGCCGCCGCAGAAAAAGUCAAAUAUGAAGACGGGAGUUCACAAGUCCUUCACAGUUGCUCUUCCUAGGGGUGCUACAGGUCAAGGAGGUCCCAAGACUCCCCCUGAUAACCGUCCUUGCUUCAAUUGCAAACAAGUUGGUCACUGCGCGAGAGAUUGCCCUUAUCCCAAGAGAAAUUCUAUAGCUGGGGGUAAUAACCGUACUGGCCGAGUGCACUAUACCACCAUUGAAGAAAUCCCCGAAGGUGAAGUGGUCACGGCUGGUAUGUUCCUUGUAAAUCAACACGCUGCAGUUGUCUUGUUUGAUUCUGGAGCUUCGCAUUCAUUCAUGAGUCAAGCAUUCGCAUCUAAGCAUGGGCAACAUGUAAUUGACCUUGAUAGUGGAAAAUUUUGCAUUAGUGCUGCUGGUAAUCAGAUCUCUACAAAUCAAUUAGUGAGGGAUGUGCAUAUCGCCAUUGAAGGGCGUAGUUAUUCAGCAAAUCUUGUCAUUUUACUAGGCUUGGGAAUAGAUGUAAUCCUAGGAAUGAAAUGGAUGAGUGAUCAUGGAGUGUUAAUAGACACUUCAACUAGGGUAAUCAUGUUGAGGGAGCCUGAUAGUAAAGAAGCUUUCUUAGUUCAACUCCCUAGAAGUAACGACAUCCGUCACGCACCUAAUGCUAUCAGACCACUCACUGCGGCAGAGAUUCCUAUAGUGUGUGAGUUUCCGAACGUCUUUCUAGAGGAUCUACCCGGGUUGCCACUGGAUACAGACAUAGAGUUUAAAAUUGAUCUAAUUCUGGGUACCGCACCUAUCUCUAGAAGGCCAUAUCGAAUGCCACCCAAUGAGUUGGCAGAAUUGAAAAAGCAAUUGCAAGAACUUCUCGAGAAAGCUCUUAUUCGGCCUAGUUCUUCUCCAUGGGGUUGUCCGGCUCUCUUUGUUAAGAAAAAGGACAAGUCUCUACGUAUGUGUGUAGACUAUCGUCUGCUUAAUGCUGUGACCGUUAAAAACAAGUAUCCACUGCCUCGCAUUGAUAUCCUGUUUGAUCAAUUAGCUAAGGCCAAAGUAUUCUCCAAGAUUGAUCUGAGAUCUGGGUAUCAUCAAAUCAAGAUCCGACCCGAAGACAUUCCUAAAACGGCUUUCUCUACCAGGUAUGGGUUGUAUGAGUAUCUAGUCAUGUCCUUUGGUCUGACUAAUGCCCCUGCUCAUUUCAUGUACCUGAUGAAUUCGGUGUUCAUGCCUGAACUGGAUAAGUUUGUGGUGGUGUUCAUCGAUGAUAUAUUGGUGUAUUCCGAAAAUGCCCAAGAACAUGAGAAGCACAUUCGGAUUGUACUCACUAGAUUGCGAGAACAUCAGCUCUGUGCCAAGUUUAGCAAGUGUGAGUUUUGGCUGAAGAAAGUGCCUUUCCUAGGCCACAUCUUAUCCGAAGAGGGUAUUUCUGUUGACCCAUCAAAAGUGCAGGAGGUUCUAGACUGGAAGGCCCCGACUUCAGUGCACGAGGUUUGGAGUUUUCUUGGUCUAGCUGGAUACUAUCGUUGCUUUAUUCCGGAUUUCUCCAAAAUAGCUAAGCCUAUGGCCAAGCUACUGCAAAAAGAUGUGAAGUUUGUGUGGUCCCAGGAGUGCGAAGUCGCUUUCACCACUUUAUGCCAUUUGCUGACCACCGCUCCUGUUCUAGCACAGCCUGACAUUGAAAAGCCAUUUGACGUCUUUUGUGAUGCAUCUGGCACUGGCCUAGGGUGUGUACUUAUGCAAGAAGGUCGCGUUAUUGCCUACGCCUCUCGGCAGUUGAGGAAAUAUGAAGCCAACUACCCAACUCACGAUCUGGAGCUAGCAGCGGUUGUACAUGCGUUGAAGCUCUGGAGACAUUAUCUGUUGGGUAAUCUAUGUCAUAUUUACACUGACCAUAAGAGCCUCAAAUAUAUCUUCACACAGCCUGAGUUGAACAUGAGACAAAGAAGAUGGUUGGAGUUGAUAAAGGACUACAAUCUAGAAGUGCACUAUCAUCGGGGCAAGGCCAAUGUUGUAGCCGACGCUCUUAGCUAGAAACAACAUGUUGGACCUCUCUUAGAGGAAGGCUUCAAUUUAUUGCAUCCUGUGGUCCUGCACAAUAUCGUGGUCAGCUGCUCGUUAGAGAGUCAAAUCAUAGAGCUCCAAAAAUCUGAUCCUGGUAUUUUCCAUAUCAAAAGAAAAAUGCAAGAGCAAGACACCAAGCAUUUCAGGGUAGAUGAGAAGGGUGUACUGUGGUUUGACGAUCGACUAGUUGUACCUAAAGACCGUGACCUACGCAACAAAAUUUUAGAUGAAGCUCAUUCUUCCAAGUUGUCCAUUCAUCCUGGUAGUAGCAAAAUGUACCAAGACUUGAAACCCCGUUUCUGGUGGACCAAGAUGAAGAAGGAGAUAGCUGCCUAUGUUGCUAGGUGUGAUACUUGCUGCAGGGUAAAAGCAGUUCACCUCAAACCUGUAGGUUUAUUGCAACCUUUGUCGGUCCCGGGUUGGAAGUGGGAAGAAAUCAGCAUGGAUUUUAUUGUUGGCCUUCCCCCUACCCAAAAGGGACAUGACUCCAUAUGGGUGAUUGUUGACCGUUUAACCAAGUCAGCUCACUUUAUCCCCGUACGUUCUACGUACCGACCUUCCGACUAUGCUGAGUUGUACUUCUCUCAGGUGGUUAGAUUGCACGGAGUGCCUCACACUAUUAUUUCUGAUAGAGGUCCUCAGUUCACUGCUCGCUUUUGGGAGCAUCUGCAUUCACUCCUUGGUACAAAGUUGGUUCGAAGUUCAGCCUACCACCCUCAAACCUCCGGUUAGACUGAGCGUGUGAAUCAGAUUGUAGAGGAUAUGUUGAGGGCAUGUAUGAUAUCUUCCCAGGGUGCAAGGGAGAAAUGGCUACCCUUAGCUGAAUUCUCUUACAACAAUAGUUAUCAAGAAAGUAUCCAAAUGGCUCCUUUUGAAGCUUUGUAUGGCCGCUAGUGUAGGACUCCUCUAAACUGGGUCGAACCCGGCGAAAGGAGAUACUACGGAAUUGACUUUGUUAAAGAAGCCGAAGAACAAGUUCUCAUUAUCCAGCAACACAUGAAAGCUGCUCAAGCUAGACAGAAAAGCUAUGCGGAUAGAAGAAGAAAACCACUUGAGUUGGAAGUAGGUGACUUUGUGUACCUAAAAGUAUCGCCCAUGAAAGGUGUGAAUCGCUUUGGUGUGAAAAGGAAGCUUGCCCCUAGGUAUAUGGGUCCCUACCAAAUCAUUGAGAAGAGUGGCAAGGUAGCUUACAAAGUACAACUACCUCCCGAAAUGAGAGCUAUUUUCCCUGUAUUCCACGUGUCUCAACUCAAGAAGUGCCUUCGUGUGCCGAAGAGAGAGUUGAAACAAGAGAUAUCAAGUUGCAAUCCGAUCUAUCCUAUGAAGAAAAGCCUGUACAAGUUCUUGAUGUCAAGGAGAGGGUUACUCAUGGGAGAGUGAUCAAGCUCUUCAGAGUUUUGUGGAACCGUCAAAGUGAGAGAGAUGCCACUUGGGAAAGGGAAGAUUAUUUACAAGUAACUUAUCCAACAUUCUACGAAAAAUGGUACGUCUUUCAAAUCUCGGGACAAGAUUUUUGUAAGGGGGAGGGCUGUAACACUCCUAGUGUUAGCUUGCAUGUUAACCAUGAGCAUUGCAUCAACAUAAGCAUCAUCAUGAUCACUCAUGAGCAUCAUACCAUGAUCACAUGCCAUUUGCUACAUGUACUUUGUGAUUGAAUUGCUAUAUGACUUGCUAUGGUUGAUUGUAAUAGGUGACUAAGGUAUACAAGUGUACAUUGUCUUCCAAAAUACUUUAAUCAUGUUUAGGACAUCAUUUUGAACAAAGUUCAUGUUGAAGGUUUUGGCCAAAAAUGCCCCUAAGUCAUGGUUAACCCUAGAUUUACCUAUUUGACCCCCUAGACCUCCUUUCAAAUAUGUUUUAUGAAACUGGUGUUAGAGGCCUUGCAUGUAAAUGACACCUAAAACAAAGUUGUAGUACAUUUCAUAAGCUACAAAAGUUAUGUUGAUGACUUUUCAUGAAAAAGCAAGGAACACAUUCAAAAGUUGCUCACAAGACAAAAAUCAGGGCUGAUUUCACACUUAGCCGAAUUUGGUUAAGUCUUAAGUCACACAGUUUCGAGGUGGGGUACUUUGGAGUGUUGUAGUUUGAAAUCCAGGUCGAGUUAGAUGUUGAUCCUUUGAGCAAACAUGUAGAACUCGUGUAGCUCUACCCAAAGGACCAAAUCCGAGCCAAAACCAUCGAGUGAGCUGAGAGUAAAACGUCGACCAACUUCGGGAUUCAGUCACUGCAAUCGGCGUUUCAGAAAAACGAUUCAGUUUGGACAGAGUUCACCCGCCGCCGCGUGUCCGGCCACCUGUCGGCCGUACACCAUCGACGGCCCCCCUGUCAGCUCCCACGGCGUCCCCAAGUCACCACGCACCGAGUGGAUGCCUCAGACGCGACCCCCACUCGCUCAGAGCGCUUCAUUUCGCUCCGCCAUUAUCACGGCGAGCUCCGCCGCGCUUCGGCGAGUUCUAACGGCUGCUCCUUCGCGUCUCCGGCCGAGCCAGUCCGCCCAGAUCUCCGCCUCGACCUCCUCUACCUCGACGUCCACUCCAUUUCCUUAGCCAAGCACCUGUGAGGUCACAUUGCCCACUCCGUCGCGAGCUCCACCUCGCCGGAGUUCACAGGGAUCACCGGCACCGUGGCCAGACCUCUCUGUUUCACCUCUGGCUGUGAUUCUUCUUCCUGUAGCUUCGCCUUGAGUCACUCUUGCUCGUCCGCAAGCUCUACCGCGUCGCCAUUGCCUAGAUCCGUCGGCGUAAUGCCGCGCAGCGCCGCCGAGCCGCCAUUCCCGACGGCGAGCACCCUAGGGUCCCGUAGAGCGCGGGUAAAGUAGGUCACUGAGUCCGCCUUGAUGAGAGGAACACGUAGAUGCCCUUGGAUCCGGCCGAGACCUCGCCGUCGUCGAGCUUCGCAUGCGACGAGCGUCUCCCCUGUCACUGUGUCACUGGUGAGCGGGUCCCGCUGACCAGCGGAUCCCACCUGUCAGUCUCACCCUCUCACACUCUGGUCACUGUGUAGCAGAUUCUUUGCUGUUUUUGUAAAAUUCAUAUCUGGAGUUUUAUAGAUCCAAAUGACAUGGCUCCAAUUUUGUUAGGUUCUGAUAAAUUUAUCAUAAUUUUUGGAAGCCUGAUUGUGAAGUUAUAAAUAUUUCUUGUUCAAAUAGGAGUUUCUUGUGGUAUUUUUAAUAAAUAAAGUAUGACUCGUUUGGUGGUGAAACUUGCUGAGUGUUGUACUCAGGGGUAAACAAAGCUAGGAAAAAUCUGAAAUCUGUUGUUUGACACUUUUUGAUAGGGUUUCACAUUUAUGCCUUGCAUGCCUUUGCUAGCUUGUUAUUUUUGUUUCUCACAAUCUGUAUGUGCAAGUGCCCUGAAAAUUUUACAGUAACCUUGUGUUAGCAUUAGUAACUUGCUGUAAUUUUCUUAGAAUUCUUGGAGCACUUGGGAUGCAUGCUCAUUAAAUCACCUUAAUAAUUAAAUAAAUGAAAAAGGGGAUGAUGAAAAUUAGUUUAGACCUUGCCAUGAUGUUUUCUAGUGUUUCCUAGACAUGUUCCAUCUACUGGUGCAAUUGGAUUGACCCUUUGAUACAUUCUUGUUAUGUGCAAAAUAUUAUUUUUGCUAUUUAUGCCUUUCCUAGAGCAAUUCUGGGUAGCUGAUAGAAAUUGCUUAAGAACUAAUUGAAUAUGAUGUUUUCUAGGAAACUUGUCUGCAACAAACUUGUAGCUAACUUGCUUAUCUACUUCGUGUCCAAGUUUCAUGACAUUUGAUUGAGUAGUUUAAAAGUUACAAAGUGCUUGCUCUCUGGAGUUUCCAGGAAAGCCAGCCAACUUUGUAAGUUUUGGCCAAUUUCGGUUGGGAAUCAUGCUGGGGUGUCUAAAAGUGAAUUGUAGAUAAUUUGCUAAGCUUUCCAGAAAGUAUUUACUUGCUUAGUUUGGCCAACUGAUGCUUAGGUUAUAGCUGAAACGUGUGACAAGUUGGUCUGUCUACAAAACCAGUGGCUGAAUAGGAGUGACUAAGGUUGUUUAAUUUGUCUAGUUAGCCUCUCUACCAGAGAAGAAGUAUGCACUUACUUGUUAUCCUAUGAUUCACUUAAUUUUAGGAGUGUAUGCUCAUGUUAUACCUUGUUUUAUGUUCCUUUGGCUCUUCAUCAUGACAUCAUGCAUCAUAUGUGCAUUCUCUAUAUCAUCUCCUUGUCAUGCAUACAUAGGUGUACCCAAGGGCGUGACCGUGUUGGAGUUCGAGGUGUCGGAGUCGGAAGGUCAACAAGGGGAGCCACCUCAAGGAGCUGAGGAGGAGGAGGACUUGCCGGAGUGUUCCGACCAUCGCCCGUCCACCUACGUUGAAGGCAAGCCCCGGAGCAUUAUAAGCCUCCUACUAUUUUCUUUAUAUCAUAUCCAGCUAUCAAUUGACUAUGUUUAUGUAUUGUUGCACUAGGUGUUAGGCGUUGAUAUGACACCCUUGCUGCAUAAUGACUACCUUGUCCACCUUAUACCUCACCUAAGUAGGUCCAGGAUCGAAAUGAUGCUUAGCCAUGCUUAGCUCGGUAGAAGCCGGAUGAUUUCCUGUCACCUGCGAGAGAUAGGUGGAUGCUGAUCACGGUUGGCUAUAUUUGCUAUCGUGGAAAUAGCCAUGUGCUAAUAAUGAACUUGAGACCGGGCGGGAUGACGAUAGUGCAGCAACAAGGCAUGGAGGUCUUGGGUGUGAAUCUAUCCCCGUCUGUGUCGGUUAAGGACCGAAUCGUUGUACGUCCCCGUGUCAUGUUGAACGCAUGCCUAUCACUUAGUUGUCCGGAUAAGUCGUUCCGACCGCGAAGCCUACGAGUGCAACUCAGGCCGGAUACCCCGUUCUGUAUGAGUGCGCACCCCGGUUGGGAGUAAGUAUGUGCGGGGAGUCAAUGGCGUAAGUCCGAGGAGUCAGGUUAGAGUCCUGACCCUGGCAGAUUGGUGGUCCCUGGUGGUGCGGCGCUGGACGGACCCGCGAAUUGGUCCGGAGUUGUGCUAAAGGUGAUCCGAGCUGCCCUCAUGAAGUAUGCUUGGGUGAGUUUUAGGAAUACCCCUCCAGCUGGAUAGGAAUCGAUUCGAAUCGCCGUCUCUCCCGGAUAGUGAGAACUUGACUUGGGCAGCGGCAACGUAGAAUUCACUAAGUAAACUUAAUGGUUAUGAUGAGAAUGUUGAUAGCAAAGUGAUAGUCCGGAUAUGGUUAUUAUUGAAAUGCUUAAUUACUCAAGUGUGUGCUUAGAACAGGUGCUAAUCUAGUGAAUAGUUGCUAAGGGAUGAACCUGCUGCUAAAAUAUUAUAAAUGAGUUACUUACAUCUAAAGCCUUUAUGCAAAAGGUGAGUCAAACCAGUCCACAAAGAUCAGCCUUGCAUACUCUUUUGGUGUCACUUUAUUUCUGGUUUAUGAAGGGUAAGUCUAGCUGAGUACCUUCUCGUACUCAGGGUUUUAUUUACCCCUGUUGCAGACAACGUCGUUUAUCACGGCUAUUGUGCUAACUGCCAUCAUCCGGCUGCGGAUGAUGAAUAGAUGAUGGGCGUGAUCAUCUUCUCUAUCUUCAGUUAUGCUUUUGUUGGGUUUGACCAUGGAACUGGCAUGUAAUAUAAACUGAGUGUGUGAUGUUUUAAAACUACUUUGAUUCCGCUACCAAACCGGUUUGUAAUAACCAUGUUUAAACUCUGAUGUGAUGUAAAACUAUGUUCUGUGAUGAAUGUAUGUAAUCUGUGAUGGCGAUGCUUGAUCAUGUACGGUCUUGGUUGUAUGUUGGUUGAAUCGAGGUCUUUUGAGAUUUCGUCGGGCUACCGGGUUUAUAUGGGUUCAAGUCCAUUGGCUUGACUGCCUCCGUUGUCGCUAAUUCACUUGAAUUCUUAUAAAUUGGACGGUUCUGUUACAAAUUGCAUAUUUAAUACCGUGUCUCUCAUGUCAUGCUGGGGAUGACAACUUGGCUUAAGUGGUAUGAGGGAUAGGUUUGGCAUUUUUGGCACCGUUACUAGAAUUAGAAACUAUCUACUUUUGGUAGUGAUGUUAAGAAUACCCAACAUGCAUUUUUAGUGCCGUUGCUGGGGAAGGUUGAUUACUAAUUGGGAAUGAAUAUAGGAUUUUGAGUUAUCAUUCGCGUCACUAAUAUGAUUGAGCUUAUCAAUUCUCUCAUACAGUUUUACCCCGAUAUUUUUCAUAUUUUAUCUUAUGAAGGGUAAUGCAUGAAUAGAAGACAUCUUCCAGGAAAUUUUGUUGACAAUCCCGAAGCCUUAUUUAGGAAAACAACAGCCAAGCUCAAGAAGAGAUCAUCAACACUUCAGCAAGAAGCUUCAUCCAGUCAAGAAGAUCACCGGAACUUGUCUUCAGAGUUCGAAGCCAUGACGAACAAAUCGAUCCGUGAGUUCUCAGCUCCCACUAUGGACAACUUCUGUACUGGACCUGCUGCAGAGAUCGUCGGCAACUUUGAGCUCAAGCCUGGACUUAUCAACAUGGUGCAAUCCAAUCAGUUCUGUGGGAAGGCACAUGAAGAUGCUAGUGCUCAUCUCCAACACUUCCUGGAGAUAUGUAGCACAUUUACCAUAUCAGGAGUUUCCAGAGAUGCUAUACUACUUCGCCUCUUCCCAUUCUCACUGCUAGGAAGAGCGAAGCAGUGGUUCUACGCUACAAAGGAGAAGAAUACUACGUGGGCACUCUGCUCAACAAACUUCCUGGCUAAGUUCUUUCCCAUGGGCAAGACCAAUGCUCUCCGCGGGAACAUUACAAGUUUUCAGCAACAACAUGAUGAAUCCGUUCCAGAAGCAUGGGAGCGCUUCCAAGACUACAUCCUAGAAUGUCCCCAUCAUGGAAUGGAGAGCUGGCUACUAAUGCAGACAUUUUAUCAUGGGCUCAGCAACAGUGCCCGAGAAACCAUGGAUGCUGCAGCUGGAGGAGCAUUCUUAUCACUUACCAUAUCACAAGCCACAACUCUUGUGGAAAAGAUGGCGUCCAACCAAGGCUGGAAUGAAGAGAGGACCCAGACAUGCAAGAAAGGUGGAGGUAUGCAUCAGCUCAAGCAGGUAGACAUGCUGUCUGCAAAGCUAGACCUGCUCAUGAAGAAGCUCGAUGAUAGAGCUGGAAAUAAGAAAGAAGUUAUGCACAUCUACGACUCUCACAUGACUUGUGAGGAGUGUGGAGACACUGGACACUCAGGCAAUCACUGCCCUGAGAUGCUUGAGGAUGUGAACUACAGCAACAAUAACAACAACUACUACUACAACCGUCCUCAACAAAAUCAAGGUUGGAAUCAACAGAGGCCUAACUACUCAGGUAAUUAUCAAGGUAACAAUUCUUACAAUAAUAAUAAUAAUUUUCCACCUCUGAGAGAGUUAGUGUCUAAUCAAGGCAAGCUAAUGGAUAACCUAUCUAAGAAAUUGGCAUCUAAUGAUAAAAUGCUAGAAAAUAUAAAUAAUAGAAUGGAUAAUUUCUCUGCUGCCAUCAAGAAUCAAAUUAGCUUUAAUAAAAUGAUUGAAUCUCAGUUAAAUCAAAUAGCUGCUGCUGUUCCUGCUACUAACCCCGGUAUACCAUCACAACCGGAAGGGUUAGAAUCUGCAAAUCUUGUAUACAUGUUUGAUGCAGGUAAUUGGAGUAACCCCGUCACUGAAGUUACUACUGACCUUCUGCCGGUCAAGAGAGGCGAUCCAGGACGCCCCGUCAUCCCGAUCUCCAUCGGCAUGGUGGAUGUCCUAGAAGCACUCUGCGACUUUGGCUCUAGUGUCAACAUUAUACCCAGGAAACUCUAUGAAAAAAUCUUUACAUAUCCUUUAUUAGAGACAACCAUGUAUUUGCAGUUUACAGAUCAGAUGAUAAGUUUUCCAAAAGGAAUAUUGAAGAACCUUUGUGUCCGAGUUGGUACCUUAUAUGCCCCAGCAGACUUCGUGGUGAUAGAGACCGAUAAUGAUGAGAGGGCACCCAUCAUCUUAGGGAAGCCAUUCUUAAACACCUCAGGAGCUGUCAUCUACGCUAGUGCUGCCAAGAUCAGUUUCUAUAUCAAAUGGAAGAAGGAGACGUUUUCCUUCAAGAACAAGACUACACAAAUCCCAGAUCAAUCUAGACAUGAAUCAAGGAAGAGCACCAACAGGAGGAAUAGGAACAAGCAAGUGUGGACCGAGUCAGCUAAGAUGGUCACUACAGUUCAUGGAGGCCAAGAUCAUGAACUUAAGUCACCGUUUUUGACCAAGACGGAUGACCCAGGAAUGCCAAGCAUCUAUUGAUCCAUAAAUGGAUAUAACUUCUACAAGACGACUUGCGACACCGGAUUGGGCGUCAACAUAAUGGCCGCAGUCACCUAUCGGCUCUUGUUCGGAACCAUGCCCCUAAAACCAACAUACAUUCAGCUCUAGAUGGUAGAUCAGACGUUUCGAGAGGUUAAAGGUACAGUAACUGAUGUCCCAGUCAAAAUAGACGAUCAUUUUGUCUACACAGACUUUCAGGUUAUUGACAUGGGAGAAGACGAAUACGAUCCACCCAUCAUCCUUGGAAGACCGUUCCUCAGCACCGUUAAAGCAAUCAUCUACAUUGGAACUGGAGAAGUCCAUAUGCACUUCCCCUCAGAGAAGGUACGCCGCUAUUUUACUGACCCUAACUAUAUCAUUGAAGAAUCUAAGCCGGUCAGAAAGCGACACAACCGCAACCAGAGGUGGCAAACCAUCAAGGACGGAUGGGCAGACUAUGAAGGAGAAGUGGUAAGCUCAGACGACAUUCAAUUUAAACAGAAUUAUCCAGAGGAGACCGUAGCACCGAGUCAGGUGUGGAGAGAGAAGAUAACUAUACAUGGAGAGGAGGCGCUGCCGGAAGUAAUGACUCCGCCACCCAACGAAUCUCAGGACAACUAGAAAACGGAGAAUCCCGUUCGGAAGACUUAAAACACCGAACGCCUUGCCAUGAGGUAAACUUGGUAGUUAUCUUUUCCCUUUCAAAUAUUUAAAAUAAUUUACUUUGUUAAUUAUGUUCAUACUAUCCUAAAAAGAAAAUAAAAAUGUUAAAAAAAUAGUAAGCCCCAUGUGAGUAUACGAGUGGCAUAAAACCCAUAAGUACAUUCACUGUGGUGGCAUAAAAAUAAAAUAAAUAUUUCUUUUCUGUUUUAUAAAACGAAAAUAUAAAAAUAAGAGAGUGAUAUUUAUUGAGGAGUCUCAACAUGAUAAAGGCUAGAUAUUUAUGAUAACACUUAAUCAGUUCCACAAAGCUUUGUUGUCUAUUUGAGCUCCACAGAAUUUAAGAAUCAAAGAAGACUAGGAGACGGAGGACAUUCUAAUCGCUGUCAGGAUGCUGCCGACUUUCAAAUACACCUCUGCCACCUGCUAGCUACAUCAAAAGAAAUUACGUCAAAAUUCAGCUUAGGGGAGAGCACCCCCAUUUAUCCCGCUAAGUAUUUCUAUCUAUCUUUAUACUUAUACUAUAUUAAAAUAUAAAUAUACAUAACUAUGGAAAACCAAAUAAAGAUUUUAUGCUUAUAUAUAUAUAUAUAUAUAUGUCUUUUGCUUAGUGUGUUUAAUAAAUAAAUAAGUGGCUAUGCUAAACUGGAUUUUAAUAAUAAAACUCUAGCAUGGAUAUGAUGAAUAGUUGCUCUGCCUAAUUUUCAAAUUUGAAGUUCUCUCAAGUAUAGACAUAAUUGUUACAAUUUAAAGCUUGCUCUAAACCUAAACUUGUGGGAAGAAAACUUGAUCUAAAGUUUAAGUUGUUAACGGAUAUGAUAUGGGAAGGUUGAGCUGCUAUUUAUCUGUUCCUAGAGAUGCUAGAAUUUUGGAAAAUUUUAUCUUUUAAAAUCUUUAAAAUAUUGCAUGAUGAAUUCCUGUAUGAUGAGAGUUUAAAUUCCUACCACAGCCAUAUAUACAUGCUUGCUAGACUUUGAGCCACACAUUUACUUUUUACAACUUAUGAGCAUUGAGUGUGGUCAAGCUGUGUAGACCCUUAGGAGCUUGUCAUGUGUGGUGAAAAUCAAGAUUCACUUGUCAUGUGUGGUUAAAAAAGCACAAAAAUUCUCUAUUUUCCUAAAUAAUCAUGAAAUGUGGUAUGUAUACUAGUUAUAAUUAACUAACUAAAUCGGUCAAAAAUUGCAAAUUAAAGUAUUAUAUGUUUUUAUUUUUUUCUAAACUAAUUAAAAUAAAAAAACAUAUUACCACUAUUUCUCUAAAAAAACGCGUCGCUUUUGAAAUGGCGAUGAAGCUAAUAACCUCUUAAAAAAACCAUAAAAUAAAAAACAAUAUACAUAACACUAGGAAAUGACAUACGCCGCUUCUAAAUGUUGAGAAGAUGAAGCUAGUGACCUCUUAACAAGUCGAUGACGGUGUAGAAACGAUGAAAUGAAUCAAUAGCCGGAGAUGAGAGCAAGAACAAGCAACUCCAAAUGAAGAACACCGUAAAAGAGUGAAGAUCGAUGGGCUCGGCCACGGGAAGAAGAGUUCAAAUAUGGGGAGGGACAUUUAGUCCCGGUUCCUUUUAAAAACCGGGUCUAAAUUCCAACACUAGUCCCGGCCGGUGGGACGGACCGGGACAAAAGCUUUUAAUUCCGGUUGGUGUACCAAUCGGGACUAAGGCUAGCUUUNNNNNNNNNNNNNNNNNNNNNNNNNNNNNNNNNNNNNNNNNNNNNNNNNNNNNNNNNNNNNNNNNNNNNNNNNNNNNNNNNNNNNNNNNNNNNNNNNNNNAUCUCGAAUAUAGGGUAGGCUUUUUCUCCGGGGGUGAGUUCAACCGCGAGUAAAAGUUCCAUCUCUAGAUGUGUGACAUGAUAGCCGUUGGGCAGGGAGACUUUUAUUCCCGGUUGGUCUCACCAACCGGGACUAAAUAUGUUUUUGUCCCAGACUCUAUUUUGGCCGAGAUUAUUGUUCAUUUUGGGUAAGUGACCAAAGGCCUGUUCUGUAGUAGUGGUGGUUAAAAUCAAGAUUCACUUGCACGUUCACUCACAUAUGUUGCUUCUACUCCGGAAGUAUCAUCCACAUAUAUCCACUCAUUUCCAUCUCUAGAACCACACAAAAAUAUUCUACUCCUAAUCCGGGAGAGAAUAGCUAAAAAACGAGGAAAUAAAAAGGGGCAAGUGCCCGGAACCUCGAAAGAAAGAAAAAGUGAGACGAGAGGUAAAAAUGGACAAGUGUCCGACAGUAGAAUUAGGGGUACAAGAUACCCACCUGAGAGAAAAAAAAUAUAGAGCAUCUCAAUCUCCUCACAAAGUUUCAAAAAAAGCAAGAAAGGUAUUUAUCCCCUCAAAAGAGCAAAGUAGAAUUAGACUUUCACCAUUGUUUUCACCAUUGUUAUCAUCACCAUACACCAUUCAUUCGCCACAUAUGCACAUCUUGAUUUGACUUAUUGAUUUGUUUCUCUGGAUCCAUGGUUUGACUAUGCAAUAAAUGUCUUGUAAGUAUGUAUAUUUUAUCUCCCACCUAUGAGCUCCACAUAUUAAAGCCUUAUUAGAGUAUGGUGAGAGAGAAGGCAAUGUCACUAUGCCUUAUACCACAAAUACUACAUAUCUUGAGUGAAGGCAUAUACCAUCACUGCCUUGGUAAGGAUCCAGAAAUACCACAAAAGAGAGAUUUGAGAGAGUCAUACAAGGAAUCUCUGAAUUUUAUUUGAAAAUCUGCAAAAACUUCAGAGCUAUAGUUGAUC
rnacentral:lncRNA from 1 species